rnacentral:lncRNA from 1 species
UUUUUUGGUAUUUGCAAAUUUUUAUUUAUGAUUCCGUAAAUUUAGAUGCCAACUUCAGAUAAAGUAUAGGGCCGAAAACGAUUUACGCCGCUCCUGCUUGAAUAGAAAAUGCUUUCUUUUGUUUCCAAUUAGUAAUUUAGUAGUAGUGUUUGACCUCUUUACUUUUUAGCGUUGUAUAGUUUAGUUCAUCUAUAGAACUUCUCUAGAGCCUCCAAUCUCUUAAGGAUAUUUUUAGUGUAGCUUCAAAAUUUAUUUGUAUAAAAUAAACAGUUGCAAACAAAACGCGAUAAAAGUGAGCAGUGGUGGAUAAAAAACUAAUCGAUCAAGUAAAGCAACUUGAGCGUUUCAACAGGCCGACUAUAUUCCCGAAUAAUUCGAAUUCUGAUGUUAAUGAUUUUCGUCGAUUUACUUGGGAUUAUUCAAAAUUACGACAUAAAUGUAUAACUGGAUAAGAAAUUGGCCAAGAAGUAAUGAGCGAACGAAAGUGAUUUAACAUUACGUUUCCAGAUAUCAGAUACCUAAUCACGAACUGUCACAUCCAAAAUAGCAAAACCAGAAACAGAGAACCAAAGAUACCACAACCAGAAACCAUAAGCAGAACCAGAACCAGAGAACAGUCACAAUCUCAAAUCCUAAUCUAAUUACCAACCACCACCACCUCCGCCGCUUCCUCCAUAACCACCACCUUCACCACCUCCGUAUCCACCACCCUCGCGUCUGCCACCACCGUAGCUUCCGCCGCCACCACCUCCUCUUGAGGAGUAUCCACCUCCACCACCAGAGUAACCACCCUCGCGUCUUCCGCCGCCACCUCCGUAUCCACCGCCACCACCUCCGUAGCCACCGCCGCCGCUGCGGUAUCCACCGCCACCACCACCACGGCCGCCUCCGCCACCGCUUCCACGUGACUGAGCCUCGUUCACAGUGAUGCUGCGACCAUCGAGCUCCUGUCCGUUCAUUCCCUCAAUGGCGUCUUUCAUGGAUUUCUCAUCCUUGAAAGUGACGAAUCCGAAUCCCCUCGAUCUUCCAGUCUCACGAUCGUUAAUGAUCUGGAAACAUAAAAACGAAACAGAUCAGCCAAAUAAUCCAACACAGACGGACACACAAAUCGAGCCAAAAAAUUUCAAAAAGAAAACGAUCGAUCUCCGGGCUCAUAAAAGCAGGAAGAUGAACGUACCGAUUGGGAAAAACAAGUAACAGAGUAACAAAGAACGAGAGAGAGAGCAUGCAUAGUAACAGUAAUUCGAAUCAAGUAACAGAGAAACACAGAUCGGAACAGAUCCGUCGAGGAUCAGAAUCAUCGGAAUCCCGGAGAGUCCGAUCUCUGCGUGUAACGGACCUUGGAAUCAAUAACGUCGCCGUACUGAGAGAAGGCAGUCUCGAGAGCUCUGUCAUCAGUGGCCCAAGCUAGGCCUCCAACGAAGCACCGGAACUCGACAUCUGCGGACGCCAUUGAAUGAGAGAAAUGAUAGAGAAGAUCUAAAAAAAGAGAAGUGGAGAGAUCUGAGUGAUGAGUGAGGGAGACGAAGAAUCUCUUUAUAAUGGGGCUGAGAUAUUUAACCAAGGUUAGAUAUUUUCUAGGGUUAGAGUCGGUUUUUAAUGAAAUUUGGUUUAACUAUGGUUAAGCGUGUGGUUUAAAAUGGUGGUGGUUGGAGACACCUCACGUGACACUUUUUUGGAUUAAUGCGCAAAUGGAAAGACGAUGCAGGAAAAGAUAUUUUUUCUUUCCGCUUGUUCCAAGAAAAAUAUCUAGUCAGGUAGAAAUAUCUGCUAAAUGAAAUGACAAGUUUACCCCGUAAGUCUCAUCUCGUAUUCAGAUCACUGAGCCGACUGACACUGGGCCGGAAAUUUAUUUUUGGACAUAAGAGAAAAACCUAAUUGGGUCAGAAUCUUAGCCCAGAAUUAAUAUUAGGCCGAAAAUAAACUCAAAAUAUAUAUAUUUGAAAAAAACAAUUGUUGACAGUGGGUUUGAACCCACGCCCUUUCGGACAGGAACCUUAAUCCUGCGCCUUAGACCAACUCGGCCAUAUCAACUUUGAUGUUUUGUUAUAGUAAAUCUUCUUUUUUUUUUAAUUUCCCCUUAUUGUUGAACCUGAGACAUUAUUCCCCUUUAAUUCUUCUGAAGAAUCUGAAGAAUCAAAACUCGAAAGUCUUUCCCAAACCAAGCUUCUGAAAGUUCAUUCCCUUAAUGUGAUAUAUGUCUUCUUGGGUACAAUAAUCAAAAGGAACACUUUGAUUUUAAUAUCAAACGAAAAUAGAGCAUGCUAUGAUUAAGAAGCAAGUCUUCAGAGGUGCAUGCAUUGACCCAAAAUUUAGAUUUGAAUCCCAUUAUUAUUUUCAAUCUAGUAAAACUAACUUCUGAAUUUGUUUGGCUCAUGCAAAAAUCUAUCAUAUUUCUAAUAUUCACAUGGAAGACUAGGGUUUUAACUAUUAAGUAUCGAUUAUCUUCUAAAUUAUCAGUCUCGAAUUAAUAAAAUUCCUCUUCAUUCCUUAAAAAUAUAUCAUUUAUAUGGAAUUUAUUUAUAUACAUUCCUUUUGUUCCUCAUAAAAUACACUAUUUAUAAAAAAAAAAUUUUUUACACACUAUUCCUUAUCAUUUUUUUAUUUUUAGGAAAUUAUAGAACAAAAAUAUUCAUAACCAAAUUUAACAAAAAACAAUAAGAUAUUAUGUAUCUUCAUUCCCUUCCUAUUCAUUCCUAUUAUGUUUUUAUAAUUGCCAAUUAAAGUCUAAAGUAUUAACUAUUUAAGUAUCGAUUAUCUUCUAAACUACCAGUCCGAACUAUAAAAUUAUUUCACUCAUAGAGACAUGUUUGAAACAAUUUAUAUAUUACACUAUUGUACUUACAUAAACAUGGAUCUACAUGUUUGAUUCUCUUAUUAAAAAAACAUGGUAUUUCUCCCUCAGAUUGGAGUUUUGUCGGGAUAAUGUCAUCUUCUUUAGGUGGUUUGCCUUCUUUAACAUGUAAAUCGCCGCUUCUUUCUCUGCUUCUGUUCCUUGGUACCCAAUCCACUCAACUGUUUCGAGACCCGACACAAAACAUUCAGGAACACAACACGGUUGCUCCCACUGAGCUUCGAAAUCUCUGAACAUGCCGCAGUUUAACUGAACAUACCAACAAAAAAAAACGGCAUGUGACCUUUACAUGUUGGAAUCGGUAAUUGUUUAUAAAGAAGUUGGAAUUACCGGCCUAAAGAUUUGUUACAAGGGAUAAUCAAGAUCGUUAUUCGUUACAGUUCUUAUAAAUAGCUGUGUUCAAAUUGUAAUGUCACACGGCUUGCUUUCUCUAUCACAGGCCAGGAGUCAAGACUUUGGAUUGUAAUAGACGUACCUGACUUGUAUAUUGAGAAGAUUGUACUACAUUGAUAAUAAUUUGGUAUAUAUAGACUAUCCCCAUGAAGAUGGUCGAGCAAAACGAAUUGGCUUACUUUAACUGGUUGUUAUGAUCUCAUGGAUAGCCAUUACAAAGACCAAGAAGCUUUAGACAAUUAUUCUACAAAACGUUUUAUUUAUAUCGAAGUCCUCUUCUCAAACUGUUUAAAAAGCCUGGGGAACGGGCAAGACACUUCAGAAGUACAGGGUCCUGCCUGGAGGAGCCUCUUCCACAGUCAAGAAUCGAGAACCACGAUUAUUUCUGUGAGACUCUUCCACAUGGAUGUAUUUACCAUCAAUCUCAAUGCCUUCCAUCAUCAAAACAGCAUAUCUCAUCGAUUCCUCCUCUUUAAAAGUAACAAAACCAUGUCGUAUCGAUUUUCCUGUCCCAGGACGGCAAAUGAUCUACGAAUACAUAGAAAAUCAUGAAAAAACAAUCAAAGCCGACACUUAAUCGUGAAUUGUCAGAUAUCAAAAUGAUUAAUAUACAGAAACAACAACAAAAAAAAAGUAAACAAAUAUACAGUAACCAAAUCCUAAUUAAAGUAGACCUCGCAAUCUGUAACAUCGCCAAACAUGCAAAAUGCUCUUGCAAGACGAGUUGCAUCAGUAUCGCGGUUCAGAUUAUGAACAAAGCAAACAAACCCUUUCGGACCGUGUAAUGGCAUCUCUCAUCGAUUUCUCGUCCUCAAAAGUAACAAAACCAAAUCUUCUCGAUGUUCCAUUCAUAAACGUGAUCUUUUGGAAACAAAUUAAGAUAAACGGUACAGAUCAGUAAAAAGAGUAUCUGACAAAAUGUUCAUGCACAAACGUAAAAUAAUAACUAAAUGUUCAAGGCGUGACUGACUUCAGAUUUGAUAACGUUGCCAAACUUUGAAAAGACUCUCUUCAGAUCAUUUGCAUCCGUUUCUCUGUCCACCGAGAACUAAGCACCUGAACUCAGAAUCUGCUGAAGCCAUUUGAAAAAAAAAAAACGACUAAUCAGGGUUUCUAUGUAGAAUAAGGAGAAACUUGUAAAAAAAUGUUGUGAGAAGUUGAAUUCAAUUUAUAGAAAAGGGGAGAGGAUUAGGGUUUUGGAUUUUUUUUUAAUAUGUUAAUUACGAUUUAAUCUUUAAAUUUGACCCCAAAAAAAAUGAAUUACAGUUACGGUGAGUUUUAUGAUAGAGGAGAGGAAACUGUUUAGCAAAUCGUGGAAUCGUGGAUUUUGAUGAGAUAAUAUAGGAUUUUUAAAAUGAUAGUUUUUGGUUUUUAACGUUUAAAUUAUUUUUUUACUCAACCACAUGUCACCAUGUCAUUGGUGAAGUGACUCGUGAUUAUGUAUAAUAAAGAUAUUAGAUUUUAACCCCGUGCGUCCGCACGAGAAUGUUUGAUUUUUUAUUUCUAAUAUAAGUUGCAUUUAUCAUUUUUGUUUAGAUAUAAUUUAUUUUUGUUAUUUAUUUUUUUUAAUCAAAAAAUUGUUAUUAUAUUUUAAUUUUAAACAGUAAAAUUUGUAUAUUAGUAGAAUAAGAGUAUAUGUUAAUUAAGUAUACAUUGAUCUAAUGUUAAUUAUAAACUUUGUUAUUAUGUAAAUUUAGAUUUACACAUAAACAAUCUAUAUAUCUAUGAAUUUGUUAAUCCAUCCGUUUAGUUGUCUUAAAUCAUUUUUAAUAACUUACAUGUUUUGACAAACUAACCCGUAUAAGACUAUAAUUAUAAUUGUAUAACCCUAUAAAUAUUUACUAAUAUGGAAUAUUUGGACCAAUUGAUUAUGAAAAUAUAUAAAAAGAUAUUUAUUUACUAUUUGUGCUAUUAAAAAAAAAAAAUAUAUAUAUUAACCUGUUAGUUUAAUUGUCUCAAAUCAUCUUAAUAUCUUACAUGUUUUAAUAAAUUAACUCAUGAACCUUAAAUAUAUAUAUAUAUAUAUAUAUAACUCUAAUAAGCUCGAUCAUAUUAUUGUAUAAUAGAAAUAUUUAUUAAUCUCAAAUAUUUAAUAUUUUAGAUUGAUUGUUUAUGAUAAAAUACGAUAAAAUAUUUAUUUACUAUGCAUUUUUAUAAAAAUAUUAUUUAAAUUUAAAUUUUAAAAUUAAAUCUUUUCUGUUUUUAAGAAAUUAUAAAGUACUAAAAUUACUAUCUAAAUUUUGUAAUAAAAUUUAAUUAUAUUUUUUUGAAUUUUUUGAAUUUAAAUUAAAUUGAACGCAAAUUUUUGUAACUAAAUUUAAUUAAAUUGAAAUUUAAAUUAAAGAUGACCUAGAUUUUAGAAAAUCUAAAAAUAUCUAAACUAAUAACUAAUUUUCGGAAAUUAAAUAUAAAAAUAAAAUAAAAUAUUAUAAAAAAAACUUUGGAAGUGUUUGGAUGCAAGUACUAAAUGUGCUUCUGUUUUAAUAGAAUAGAUAGAUGCAUGGACAAUCUUUUUUCUUAAAGCUCUCUAUGUGUUAUACAUAAUUUCCUUGGUAUCUCAGAUGAUCAAGAUCUAACAAUUCGUACUACGAUAGAAGAAAAUGAUCCCAUAUCUCUUAGCCGUUUCAUUUUUAUUGUGCGUGAUAUCCCCACUCUUUACAGUAUCAAAUUAACAAAAAGUUACUAUAAAAGACUAGUUUGCAACUUGUACCGUACAAGUUGUACGUCACGUUUAGAGACGUUUGACUCAAUUUCAUAGCUUUCUCGAUUGCUGUGAACUUCUUAAUGUUAACUUGUGAACCAGAAUCAGGUUAUUGAACCUAAACCAAGAUUUAUAUGAACCCGUAAUUGUUAAUAUAGAAGUUGGAAUCGGUCUAAAGUUUUGUUACAGGGAAUAAUUAAUGAAGAGAUCGUUAUUCGUUAACAAUUCUUAUAAUUAAAUAGCGUUGUCACAUCACAUAAAUAAUCUUCUAAUAAAUAAUUAAUACUUGAUUCAAAGCACCACGUCCCAAACAAUCACAUAGUGAUAUAUUAUAAAGGGGAGCCUAGAAGCUUAUUAUAUAAUUCUAUUAUAUAUAUAUAUCUUAUGAAACAUUGUCAAAUAUAUAUAUAUAUAUCUUAUGAAACUUGGGUUCAUGCCUUCUUCUUCUUUGGACCAACACCGUGACGACGACAACUUUUGCGAGACGAGUAAGCCUGUUCCACAGUUAUGGUUGUGUAUGGCGGGGCGAGCUUAUGAGUACCGUUCAUUCCGUUAAUAGCAUCCCUCAUGGAUUUCUCGUCUUUGAAAGUAACAAAUCCAUAUGCCAUUGAAUGAUCUUCAUCAUACUCAGAUGGAUAAACGACCUAUGAAACAAUGACUAACAUAAUUCAGAAUAAUUGUUAUAAAAAAAAAAAUCAAUACGUCGCCUAACUGGAUUUAUUAAUGAAAAAAAAAUGAAAAAACCAACAUAAGUUCCUAUAACGUCGCCAAACCGAGAAAACGCAUUCUUGCGAACAUAGCACUUGUAUUCAACAUCUUCGGACGCCAUUUUUGAAAGAUGCAGAUUGAUGAGGACAAUUUAUAUAAAAGAUUAUUUAUGUGGUUAUAAAUGCUAUCGAAUCUAAAAACUUUUAGAAACAAGCGUCUUUUUUCUUUCUUUGAAACUAGUUUUCCCUAGUUCCCAAACUUUCUAGAUAUUUUAUCUAAAUCUCAGUGUUUUUUUUUUUUCUGGUACAACUAAAAUGUGAAAACCAUUACUAGUAAAUUGAUUUUAUUGGAAAGUAGGAGUAUAUGUUUCCAAUAAAAGUCAAUUUGUUUUCUUGCUUAAGCUGUUAGUUUCAGUUUAUACUCCCUCCAUUUCACAAAGAGUGUCAUUUUGACACUUUAUGUUUGUUUCAAAAAGAAUGUCGUUUUAGAAUUUCAAUGUAAUUUUUAACAUAAAAUAUCAUUUUUAACCUCAAUAAAUUCAGAAAAUUAAUUAUAAAUAUGAUUCCAAAAGUCAUUUUCUACAAAUUAAUAAGGGUAUAAAAGACUUUUUAUCUUAUUUCUUAAUUUGUGUGAAGAUUGUCAGAACGACACUCUUUGUGAAACGGAGGGAGUACUAUUUUUUACCUACCACAACAAUUCAAUAAUAUCACUCAAAAUUUCUCAGUGAUUUGCUUAUGAAAUGCACUAUUGAAUGAUGAUGAAUACAAAAUUCUAACGAAACUCUUGUUGAAAUGCAUCUUUACAUUAUAAAGGUGCACUAAGCUACUAACGAAACUCUUGUCUCACUAUUGCUACUUUUUUCUGUUAAUUUGCAUUUGGAUAUAUAAUUCCUCUGGACAUCUGCAAGUGAGCACAGUUAGAUAAACACAAAACGCUAAUGUGCUUCUACUAUAUUUAAAUCUUGGUUUAGAGAUGAGUAGUUACUCUGGGAGCGAAACAAACCGGUUUAGUUAUAACCUGCGGUUGUCAUUAGGCUUGAAUUUUUCAGGAAUUGGGACGGGAAUUGACAGGUAAAGGAUGGGAAUUGAAAUUUUGGGAAUCUGAAUAUAUUACCCAAAAUAUUCCCACAAAAUAACGAGAGGGAAAUUUACGGGUAUGGGAUGGAAACGGGAAAUUCGAAAAUCAAAACACACUAUCCAUACAAUCCCAAAAUAAAAUAUAAUCAGGAAAAGGACGGGAAAGGAACAGGAAAGGGACGGGAAAAAUUUCGGAUAAUUCGGAUAAUUAAACUAAAAUCAAUUUUGUUUUUUUUUUUUAAAUUAUUAUUUGUUAAUAAAUUGGAAAAAUCAUUAUUUAUUAUAAAAAAAAUUUCAGUUAACCAAAAUCUCUAAAAUUUCACUUUAUAUAAUUACCCAACGGGAAGUUCGGGUAAUCCCAUUCCCGUCCCUACCCUUUUCCUUACCCAUUCAAAUAUUAUUUUCAAACCCAAAUGGGAAAUUACAAUUUCCCUUUUUCGAAAAGUUUGGGAAUUUCGGGACGGAUACGUUUCGGGACGGGUUACCCUUCCCGAAAAAUUCAGGCUUAGUUGUGACCUUGUGCGUAAUAUAGAUACUCACUUUUUACAGUAUCAAAUUAACAAAAAUUAUACUAAAAGCCUAGUUUGCAACUAAUAUCGACUUUGGCUCAAGAACAGGAUUUAAUAAAACUCUCUUUUAUUAAAUUUUAGGAAACUCUCUCAAAACCUAAAGAUCCAAAACACAAAACUCAUAAGUUAUUAACGACGACCCUACGACUGCGGAAAAUCAGUCGCCAAAAUGUCGCUAAAUAGUGAUUGCGAAUGUCGUCACUUCUUAGUCGCUAUCUAACGACGGAUUAGCGACUAAUAUGUAGUCACGAUUAAUCAGUCGCUAAAACGUCGAUAAAGUUGCAACUAAUUUGCGACAUAUGCGGCGAGUCGGUAUUAUUUAACACGUGUAAUACGUUUUAGGGUGGUUGUACCGGUUUUUCGCGACGAACCGUUGGCAGUCGCAAUAUAGUGACAAAACAGUCGCAUAUUAGUCGCAAAAUUUUCUAUAUAUUGAGAUCCCAUCUACGUUCCACUUCAUUAGUAUGCUUGCUAUCAUUUUGGUAGUUACUUUAUAAAAUUCCUUUAGCUGUAAGAAAUAUUUCUUACAAAAAAGGUGAAAAAAGAGUUAAGAAAAAAAAAACUCUUAUAAUAGAAAGAGAGUUAUAAUUUUAAUUAUAAUAAUUUUAGAGCUUGGAUGUAUAACCGAAUCGAUGAAAAGACGGGUAAUUUUUCGAAUGCGUUUAUAGAAGGAGUGGAGCAAUUCAUGAAUUUUGCAAAUAAUCAGACUAUAACACAAAGCAAUUGUGGUAAAUUUUUCUGCCCUUGUAGUGUAUGCAAUAAAACAAGUUUUUGUUGGGGAGUAAGAUUUGGAAUCAUCUAUACAGUAAAGGGUUCAUGCCAGAUUAUUAUGUUUGGUAUAAGCAUAGGGAAGAAAUAACUAUGGAUUAUGGAACUAGUUAUAAUAACAGUCAUCUAAGUGGGAGUGAAGAAAAAAUGGAUAAUAUAGCUGAAGAUAGAUAUGUGGAUAUGGUGAAUGAUGCAUUUUGUGAUAAUUUUCGUCAAGAUGAUAGCUAUUGUCUAGAUGAGAGUAAUGAAAAUGUAGAAGAACCUGUACGUAAUCAUCCCAAAAAUUUUUACGACUUGUUAGAAGCUGGGAAAAAACCAUUAUACGAUGGUUGUCAUGAAGGGCAUUCACAGUUAUCUUUAGCUGCUCGGUUCAUGCAAAAUAAGAUAGAUUAUAAUAUGAGUGAAAAAUGUAUGGAUUCAUGGGCCGCAUUGUUUACUGAGUAUUUACCAGAUGGAAAUCAAGCAACCAGUUCUCAUUACGAGACAGAGAAAUUGAUGGGAAACCUAGGCCUUCCUUUUCAUAAAAUUGAUGUUUGUAUCAACAAUUGUAUGAUCUUCUGGAAAGAGGACGAACAUUGGGAGAACUGUAAAUUUUGUCAAGCACCAAGAUAUAAGCAAGUCAAGGAAGGACGGCGAUCAAGAACCAGAAUACCAUAUAGUCGUAUGUGGUAUCUACCUAUAGCUGAUAGAUUAAAGAGAAUGUAUCAGAGCGAGAAGACAGCAGCGGCUAUGAGAUGGCAUGCUGAACACCAAGCCAAGGAUGGAGAAAUGUCACAUCCCUCUGAUGCUGCUGAGUGGAAAUAUUUUCAAGAUCUACAUCCUCAGUUUGCUGAAGAACCCCGAAAUGUUUAUCUUGGAUUAUGUACAGAUGGGUUUAAUCCAUUUGGCAUGUCUCGUAAUCAUUCUUUAUGGCCUGUGAUUUUGACCCCAUAUAAUUUACCUCCUGGUAUGUGCAUGAGGACAGAGUAUUUGUUCCUGACGAUAUUGAAUUCAGGGCCAAAUCAUCCACGAGCCAGUCUUGAUAUAUUCCUCCGACCUCUUAUUGAUGAGUUAAAAGAUCUAUGGUCUACUGGAGUGAAUGCAUAUGAUGUGUCCCUGAAACAAAACUUUAAUUUAAAAGCUGUGCUGCUGUGGACGAUAAGUGACUUUCCAGCAUACGGUAUGUUAUCAGGAUGGACUACUCAUGGUAAAUUGUCUUGUCCAAUUUGCAUGGAAGAUACAAAGGCUUUUUAUCUCCCUAAUGGAAGGAAGACAUGUUGGUUUGAUUGUCACAGAAGGUUUCUUCCACAAGAUCAUCCAUUAAGAAAAAAUAAAAAAGACUUUUUGAAGGGUAAAGGCAUGAGUGACUACCCACCAGAGUCUUUGACUGCUGAGCAAAUAUAUUCUGAGCGGAUAGAAUCUGUGAAUCCUGGUAGAACAUUUGAGUGCGGUGGAAAUGGUCAUGAAAAAAAGAAGGCUGGAUAUGGUAAGUGGCACAACUGGCACAAAGAAAGUAGUUUCUGGGAGUUGUCGUACUGGAGGGACCUUAAUCUCCGGCAUAAUCUUGAUGUGAUGCAUAUAGAAUAAGGCUAAAACGUGGCCCAUCUACUUCACUAGGGGAUACUUGUUUCAUACGCAGAAGCAUGGUGUGGACCGAAAAACCUGUAACUAUGGGAUAUGUGUGAAAGGAGAAAAUUAUACGGAUACAUCUGAUGAAGCCGAUUUCUAUGGAAUCUUAACUGAUAUCAUACAACUCGAGUACGAGGGAAUGGUAAAUUUGAAAAUCACACUUUUUAAAUGUAAUUGGUAUGACCCUGUUAUUGAUAGAGGCACACGAAGAAACAAUGGUGGCGUCACUGACGCUAAUUCAUCAAGAAGAUACAAUAAGUACGAACCAUUUAUCCUAGGUAUGUUGAUAUAUAUAUAUAUAUAUAUAUAUAUAUACUUAAAAUAUAUAUGUUUUUUUGUUGAAAGAAUCUUUUUAUUUUGCUGAUCUUCCACAGCUUCUCAAGCUGACCAAGUUUGUUAUAUUCCCUAUCCAUACCGAAAGAAACCGAAGCAAUUGUGGUUGAACGUGGUAAAAGUAAAUCCAAGAGGAAACAUUAAUGGAGAUUAUGAAGAGAAAGAACCAACUCUUUUACAACAAGUAAAUGAUGAUGAUAUAAUGCUGACUACAAUUGAGGAUCUUGUGGUCGAUAAUCGAGUACUCGGAGUAAACUCCAUAAAUCUUGAUUUUGAUGUUGAAGAUGCAGAACCAGCUGAUGAAUUUCAGUGUAACUUAUCAUCCUCAGAUGAUGAUGAAGAUGAAGAUGAACCUUACUAAUUAUUUUGUUUAAACUAGUUGAUAAUAUGAUGAAGAUUAAGAUGAACAUUACCAAUUUCAUUUUUUUAAAAAUUGUUUAAAUCAUUUGAUAUUAGUUGAUAUUAUCAAUUUAACUAAAUCAAAAUUAAACCAGAUUAAGAUUAAUCUUAAAACCAAAUUAAACCAUAAAACUAAACCAUAUCAAACCAGAUUAAAAUUUAGUUAACCCAUAAAACCUAAUUAAACCAUACUUAACCAAAAUUAACUCACUAACCCUAAAUUAACCCGAAGCCCACUAACUAAAUCCUAAGCCCACUAACUAAAAUUAACCCACUAACCCUAAAUUAACCCGAAGCCCACUAACUAAAUCCUAAGGCCACUAACACUUAACAAAAUUUCUUCUUCCCUCUAGUCGAUCUAAACGACUAAACCCUAAUUCCUCUUUCUCUUCUCUCGAUCAUUCCGCCUCUUCUCUCACACCGAUUCUCUCUUCUCAACCUGUUUUUCGAUUCUAAGUUCUAACCCACACCGAUUCUCUCUUAUCUUCACUCUUUCUCUCUUCUCCACCGAUCCGAAACCCACAAACCGAUGGUUACUCGUCGUUCGAAGAAAGGAAGAGGAGGUGGAAAGGCAUCGACUGCAAAGACGCCUCUCCCAAGUCGAUACGCCUUCACUCUGUCGCCGUCUAACCAGUCUCCACCACCGCUUCAACCGGAGAGGGCACCGUCGAUCUCGGUGAGAGAUUAUCCACCACCGACGCAUCUGUUCCAGAACCGCAGCCAACAUCAAAACUCUUCUCCGCCGCUUAAUGCUCCGUCGACUCAACCGCCUCAACCCCGAAGCUCCCAUAACUCCGAACACCGACCAGCCGCAAUCUCUGAAGAAGAAACAUCUCCGCAUGCUGAAGGGACUUACUCGCACUCCCAUGAAGGCCACAACGACAGUGAAGAAGCUCUAUUCAGCCCCGAUCUCGCUCCUGACCAUCAGAGAAUCCUGAACGCUUUGCUUACACAACCAGGAAGGGAAGCUUUCACCACAGUCCUAUCUCCUUUACCGAAGCCUAAUACAACAUGGUAAUGCUUUCAUUUUCAGCUUGUAUUGCUUAGUUUAGUUGUUUACGUUUGAACUUGAUUGGGUGUGGAACUCGGAUUAGGUUUCAAUAUGGUAUGCGACUUCAUUGCUUAGUUUACAAAUUUAGGUUUGGAACUUGAUUUUAGGUGUUGUAUGCGAAUUCGUUGCUUAGAUUAGGUAACAAUUAUGUAUGUUUUGAUAACUGGUAACUUGUUUGUAUCUGAAUUUGUAGGUUUGGUCGGGACAAAUCUAAACUUACCCGAAAGAUCACCAAGAUCUUUACAAACAAGUUCGACGGUCCCUUUUACAGCUGGACCUGUGUGCCUCGAGAGAGACAAGAACGGUACUUCAUUGAAUUUGCGGUAAGUAUUUCAUUCUUAUUCUCAUUUGUUUCUUUGAUGAUUUUCAGUCAUUUUAGGCAUUUGAAGCAAUUGUUUGUUUGAGUCGUUUGAGUUAUUUAUAGCAAUUUUUUGUUUGCUUCAUUUGAAGUUAUUGAGGCAUUUCAUUCUUUGAGUUAGUUGAGGCAUUAGAUUAGAUGUUUCUUAGUUUAGGCUCGCUUAAAAGAUCUUCUACUCAUUUGAUUCAUUUGAGGCAUUUGAGGCAUUUGUGGCAUAAGACUUCAUCGUUUCUUCUCCUUUGAUUAAUUUGACUUGUUUUUUUCACUUGCUAAUACCAUUUUCUAUGUUUCUAAUGUAGAAAACACACACUUGGGAUCCAUUAGUAACCGGUGUUGUCCAAGAAAAGUUUGAGAGCAUUUGUCUCAAUCGGAUGAAGGAUAUGGUGAGCAAGGCAAGGACUACUCGGGAGCAGCCCAACUGGAUUGGCGACACUCUCUGGAAACAAAUGAAUGAAUACUGGAACACUGAAGAAGCCAAGGAAAAGAGUGCCACUACAUCAGCUGCAAGGAUGUCUGAACGUGAUGGUCUUGGACCUCAUGUCCACUUCUCAGGCCAGAAGUCGUACAUACAAAUCCAACAAGAGAUGGUUAGUUCUCUUCCCUUUUCAUUCAUCACUUAUGUCUAUACAUCUUUAAACUCUUUUGUUUGACUUUUUUUUUCAUUGCAGGAAGAAGAACUUGGAAGGCCGGUGAGUCUUGGUGAAGUUUUCAUCAAGACUCAUACAAAAUCGGAUGGCACUUUUGUAGACCGAAAGUCCAAGACGGUGGCUGAAGCGUAUAAGAAGAAACUGGAAGAAAAGAUGGCUGAUCUUGGGGUAGACUCCGAGACUUCAGAUGGUACAUCACCGCCUGUGGUGCUGUCCGUAGAAGAGGAAAAUGAACUCUUUCUUCAGGUAAAUACUUUUUUUACAUUGUCUUUUAUGAUAUGCUUUUAUUCUUUGGAUUUUGACAGUUCUGUUAUUCUAAUACUGUUUUGCAGGCGACUUUCACAAAUGAAAGAGGCAUUCCUUAUGGAAUUGGAAGCCUCUCACAAACGACUGGAAAAAGGAAGUACCCAGGAACCUCGGCAACAUACAAGGGUCUCGAGGAGCAGCUUCAAGAAGCUCAACGCCUAAUAGAAGAACAAGCAGAUCAGAACUCAAGGCGUGAGGCAGAGCUUCUCAAAGUUUCUGCUGAGCAACAAGCCAGAAUCGACAAGUUAGCUCUGGUGGAAAGGUACUUGACUCAAACUGAUCCAGGGUUCUUAGAUUUUGUGGCUGCAAAUAAAGUUUCAAGUAAUCCAAUGCCUUCACCUAAUCACUCUACAACUCCCUAGGUUCUGGUUGGCCUCUGUUUUUCUUUGCUCCUUUAUUCUCUUUAAGAACUUAUCACAAUGAUAUGCUAUGUAUUAUUUGGGUAUUUUGAUCACAAUGUUUUGGAACAAUGUCUAUUUUGGUAUUUUGGAACAAUGCCUAUGUUUAAUGUAAUAUAUAUUUGCUUUUACAAGUUCUUCUAAUUAUUUGAUUUCGAGUUUAGCUUUUUGGUGUAAUGAACAAAUUUGAUCAAAUGAAAAUAGGAAAUAUAAUGGAUUACCAAACCUGAAUCCGUUUGAUCUAUGUAGUCGCAAAUUCGUCACAACUUCGUCGUAAAGUAGUCACGACUUCGUCGGAAAUCAGUCGCUAAACCAUAACAAAACAUCACGUUUUUGGUGAUAUCAGUCUUCAAACAGUCGCUAAAGUGAAAGCAAAGUAGUCGUGAUUCAGUCGUUAUAUACUGCGACUAUUUCGCGACUGAAUUUUCACGACCACUAAGCAGUCGCAAAAUGGUCACAAAGUUCGCAACUAAUUAGCGACUGAAUUUACACGACGUUCCGACGACCGAAUCAAAAGUCGCUAAUUAGUCACAACUGCAGUCACUUAUUAGUCGUUAAAUUAACUACUAAGUGCCGACUAUUUAACGACUGAAUGACGUAGUCGUUAAGUAGUCGCGAAUUAGUCAUUAGUUUGCGACUGAUUAGCGACUCUUUAUUUUAGCGACGUUAAAUUAACGACUAAUUUGUUUAGUCGCUACUCAGUCGCAAAACCACUUAUAGCGACUGAUUUGCGAUUGAUUUGUUCGUCGCUGAAAACCUGUUUUCUUGUAGUGAGGAUUUAAUAAAACUCUCUUUUAUUAAAUUUUAGGAAACUCUCUCAAAACCUAAAGAUCCAAAACACAAAACUCAUAAGUUAUGCCACACAUUGGCAUCUCCUUAUAUAGAUGUUUAGCUACUCCUAAACUUAAUGGAAUUAGAUAACUCCUAAUUUCCUUUUUCCUAACCUUAACACUUUUAGGAAACAUUACUUAAAGAUAAUCUAGAACAAUCUAGAAGCUUGCUCUUCAAGCUUUUCUCAAGCUUACUCCAACAAUCUCCCUCUUAAGCUUGAAGUCUUCUUUGAUCAUCUCUUUAACUCCAAUGAAGUUUCUCAUUUCUUUAAACUUGAUCCUUCCAAGUGCUUUAGUCAGAAUAUCAGCUUUCCUGUGGUUGUGAUCUUGUGCGUGAUAUCCCCACUCUUUACAGUAUCAAAUUAACAAAAGUUACUAUAAAAGACUAGUUUGCAACUUGUACCGUACAAGUUGUACGUCACGUUUAGAGACGUUUGACUCAAUUUCAUAGCUUUCUCGAUUGCUGUGAACUUCUUAAUGUUAACUUGUGAACCAGAAUCAGGUUAUUGAACCUAAACCAAGAUUUAUAUGAACCCGUAAUUGUUAAUAUAGAAGUUGGAAUCGGUCUAAAGUUUUGUUACAGGGAAUAAUUAAUGAAGAGAUCGUUAUUCGUUAACAAUUCUUAUAAUUAAAUAGCGUUGUCACAUCACAUAAAUAAUCUUCUAAUAAAUAAUUAAUACUUGAUUCAAAGCACCACGUCCCAAACAAUCACAUAGUGAUAUAUUAUAAAGGGGAGCCUAGAAGCUUAUUAUAUAAUUCUAUUAUAUAUAUAUAUCUUAUGAAACAUUGUCAAAUAUAUAUAUAUAUAUCUUAUGAAACUUGGGUUCAUGCCUUCUUCUUCUUUGGACCAACACCGUGACGACGACAACUUUUGCGAGACGAGUAAGCCUGUUCCACAGUUAUGGUUGUGUAUGGCGGGGCGAGCUUAUGAGUACCGUUCAUUCCGUUAAUAGCAUCCCUCAUGGAUUUCUCGUCUUUGAAAGUAACAAAUCCAUAUGCCAUUGAAUGAUCUUCAUCAUACUCAGAUGGAUAAACGACCUAUGAAACAAUGACUAACAUAAUUCAGAAUAAUUGUUAACAAAAAAAAAUCAAUACGUCGCCUAACUGGAUUUAUUAAUGAAAAAAAAAUGAAAAAACCAACAUAAGUUCCUAUAACGUCGCCAAACCGAGAAAACACAUUCUCAAGAUCAUCUUCUUCCGUGUCCACGUCUAAAUUGCGAACAUAGCACUUGUAUUCAACAUCUUCGGACGCCAUUUUUGAAAGAUGCAGAUUGAUGAGGACAAUUUAUAUAAAAGAUUAUUUAUGUGGUUAUAAAUGCUAUCGAAUCUAAAACUUUUAGAAACAAGCGUCUUUUUUCUUUCCUUGAAACUAGUUUUCCCUAGUUCCCAAACUUUCUAGAUAUUUUAUCUAAAUCUCAGUGUUUUUUUUUCCGGUACAACUAAAAUGUGAAAACCAUUACUAGUAAAUUGAUUUUAUUGGAAAGUAGGAGUAUUUGUUUCCAAUAAAAUUCAAUUUGUUUUCUUGCUUAAGCUGUCAGUUUCAGUUUAUACUAUUUUUUACCUACCACAACAAUUCAAUAAUAUCACUCAAUUUGCUUAUGAAAUGCACUAUUGAUAUGAUGAUGAAUACAAAAUUCUAACGAAACUCUUGUUGAAAUGCAUCUUUACAUUAUAAAGGUGCACUAAGCUACUAACGAAACUCUUGUCUCACUAUUGUUACUUUUUUCUGUUAAUUUGCAUUUGGAUAUAUAAUUCCUCUGGACAUCUGCAAGUGAGCACAGUUAGAUAAACACAAAACGCUAAUGUGCUUCUACUAUAUUUAAAUCUUGGUUUAGAGAUGAGUAGUUACUUUGGGAGCGAAACAAACCGGUUUAGUUAUAACCUGUGGUUGUGACUAGGCCUGAAUUUUUCGGGAAUUAGAACGGGAAUUGACAGGUAAAGGAUGGGAAUUGAAAUUUCGGGAAUCUAAAUAUAUUACCCAAAAUAUUCCCACAAAAUAACGAGAGGGAAAUUUACGGGUAUGGGAUGGAAAUGGGAAAUUCGAAAAUCAAAACAUACUAUCCAUACAAUCCCAAAAUAAAAUAUAAUCAGGAAAAGAACAGGAAAGGAACAGGAAAGGGACGGGAAAAAUUUCGGAUAAUUCGGAUAAUUAAACUAAAAUCAAUUUUGUUUUUUUUUUUUAAAUUAUUAUUUGUUAAUAAAUUGGAAAAAUCAUUAUUUAUUAUAAAAAAAAUUUCAGUUAACCAAAAUCUCUAAAAUUUCACUUUAUAUAAUUACCCAACGGGAAGUUCGGGUAAUCCCAUUCCCGUCCCUACCCUUUUCCUUACCCAUUCAAAUAUUAUUUUCAAACCCAAAUGGGAAAUUACAAUUUCCCUUUUUCGAAAAGUUUGGGAAUUUCGGGACGGAUACGUUUCGGGACGGGUUACCCUUCCCGAAAAAUUCAGGCUUAGUUGUGACCUUGUGCGUAAUAUAGAUACUCACUUUUUACAGUAUCAAAUUAACAAAAAUUAUACUAAAAGCCUAGUUUGCAACUAAUAUCGACUUUGGCUCAAGAACAGGAUUUAAUAAAACUCUCUUUUAUUAAAUUUUAGGAAACUCUCUCAAAACCUAAAGAUCCAAAACACAAAACUCAUAAGUUAUGCCACACAUUGGCAUCUCCUUAUAUAGAUGUUUAGCUACUCCUAAACUUAAUGGAAUUAGAUAACUCCUAAUUUCCUUUUUCCUAACCUUAACACUUUUAGGAAACAUUACUUAAAGAUAAUCUAGAACAAUCUAGAAGCUUGCUCUUCAAGCUUCUCUCAAGCUUACUCCAACAAUCUCCCUCUUAAGCUUGAAGUCUUCUUUGAUCAUCUCUUUAACUCCAGUGAAGUUUCUCAUUUCUUUAAACUUGAUCCUUCCAAGUGCUUUAGUCAGAAUAUCAGCUUUCUGUUCUGUUUCCGGAACAUGCUCAACCAAUAUUUGCUCAUUCUCGACACACUCUCUAAUGAAAUGAUAUCUUUUGUGUAUGUGUUUACUUCUGCCAUGAAACAUUGGAUUCUUUGUCAAUGCAAUUGCAGACCUGUUGUCAAUUCGAACCAAAGCUCUUUCACAUCCUGAUCCAAUGACUUCACCGAGUAACUCCUGCAGCCAAAUCGCUUGUUUUGCAGCUUCUGUAGCUGCCAUAAACUCAGCUUCACAAGAAGAUAAUGCCACUAUCUCUUGCUUUUGAGAACACCAGGUUAUUGGACAUUCAUUGAGAUAAAAGAUAUGACCAGAAGUACUCUUGCCAUCAUCCAAAUCAACAUUGUGACUACUGUCACUGUAUCCGAUCAAACCAGAUAAACUGCUUUUCGAAAACUUCAAUCCAUAACUCAAAGUUCCUCGAAGAUACCUUAGUACUUGUUUGAGUGCUAUUCCAUGAGAUUCUUUAGGCUCCUGCAUGUAUCGACUUAGCACUCCAACAGCAUAAGAAAGAUCAGGUCGCGUAUGAAGCAAGUAUCGAAGACAGCCUAUAUUUCUCCUAUACUUCUUCUCAUCGAUUGCUCGUUCUUCUUGUGCUUUGCAUAGCUUUAAACCAGAGUCCAUUGGAACGUGUACAGCAUUACAUUCAUCCAAGCCAUUCUCUUCGAGAAUUCUUCUUGCAUAUCUCUCUUGAUUUAAUGUGAUGCAUCCUCUUUGUUGUCCUACUUCGAUCCCAAGAUAGUAGGUUAACCUUCCAAGGUCACUCAUCUCAAAUCGUUCUGCCAUGCGCCUUUUAAACUCAAGUAUCAGCUCCAAGCUUGAACCUGUGACUAGUAAAUCGUCCACAUAUACCGCCACAAGCAAAAGAAACCCCUUUUCUUCUCUUCGGUACAGUGAAGGUUCCUUUGAACACUUGCUAAACUUCAAUUCAACAAGAAUUUGAUUUAACUUGUUGUUCCAAGCCCUUGGUGCCUGUUUCAGUCCAUAAAGAGCCUUGUGUAGUUUAUACACCUUAUCUUCACUUCCUUUGAUUUCAAAUCCCUCAGGUUGAUGAACAUACACUUCUUCUUUCAGCUCGCCAUGUAAGAAGGCUGUUUUUACAUCAAGAUGAUGUACUUCCCAUUCACUUGAAGCGGCUAGAGCAAUAAUAAAUCGAAUGGUUUCUAUGCGUGCCACUGGAGCAAAUACUUCGUCGAAAUCAAUACCAUAUCUCUGCACAUAACCCUUUGCCACAAGUCUUGAUUUGUAUUUGUUUAUGCUUCCAUCAGAGUUAUGUUUGAUUUUAAAUACCCAUUUAAGUCCAAUGGCUUUUGCUCCUUUAGGAAGAUUGACCAAAGUCCAAGUCUUGUUCUUGUUGAUCGAUGCAAUCUCUUCUUCACAUGCGUUUCUCCAUACUUUUAGGGAUUUCGCUUCAUUAAAAUCCCAUGGUUCUUCAUUCAUGGCUAACAAUAGGCGUUCACUCUCUAAUUCUGCAAUCAUUACAAAAUCAUCGAAGUGACCUGGUUGCUUGCGAAGUCGUGUUGAUCUUCUAAGUGCCGGUUGGUCUUGCACUUGUUCUUCUGUAGUAUUGUCUUCGGUUUCAAGGUUAAUACCAUCGGAAGCAUUGUUGUCUUCGACAUUAUCUCCAUCAUUCGUGUACUGUUCACUUUCGUCCUCUGUUUCCUCUGUUUCAUUUGUUCCAUUGUUUUGCUUUCCUCCUAAGACGAGAGUGAAUGUUCUGAUGCCACUGUUUAACUCGUUUACUGUGUUAUUCCACUUCCAGCUCUUUGUUUCGUCAAAGAUCACGUCGCGACUAACAAUAAUUCUUCUACUCUUUGGUUCCAAUAAUCGGUAGGCCUUUGAUCCUGGUUCAGUUCCCAGAUGGAUGAGAAUCUGUGAUCUAUCAUCGAGUUUUUUCAAAUGUGGAGAUGUGAUUUUUGCAUAUCCAAUACACCCGAAAACUCGCAGAUGCUCAAUGUUCGGUUUUCUUCUCUUGAAUGCUUCAUAUGGGGUUUGCUUCUCCAAACUCUUUGUAGCCACUCGAUUGAUAAGAUAUGUUGCAUGUCUCACAGCCUCCCCCCAAAGGUAGUUAGGAAUAUUCAUAUGUUUCAUGAUACUCCUAGUCAUCUCCAUAAGAGUUCUGUUCCUUUUUUCUACUACUCCAUUUUGUUGAGGAGAGUAGGGAGCGGUCAAGUGUCUUUUGAUGCCUGCAUUAUCACAAAACUCCUGGAAUUCUUGAGACACGAACUCACCUCCUCUGUCCGUUCUCAAGGUUUUAAUUAGUCGACCAGUUUCUUGCUCAACAACUGCUUUAAACCCUUUGAAUCGGCUGAAAGCUUCACUCUUUUCUUUGAGAAGAAGAGACCACAUAUACCUAGAAUAGUCAUCAAUUAACACGAAAACAUAUCGGUUUUGUGCUGCUGUUGCAGGUGCAAUCGGUCCACAAAGGUCACCAUGAACGAGUUCAAGUGGUUCUGAUGCUCGAUAUGUUGUUGAUUGUGGGAAAGGCUUUCUCAUCUGCUUUCCGAGCAUACAUGCGGAGCAGGUAUCCUUUUCUACAAAAAAGUUUGGUAUUCCUUUGACAAGAUCCUUCUUGAUCAUUGUCUUCAUGGUCUCUAUACCAACAUGUCCUAGCCUCGCAUGCCAUUUAACAGAAUCACUUAUAGCCAUGAUUUGCAGACACUUCGCUUUCUCCACCUCCAUGUGAACUUUGUAGAGUCUAUUCCUUGAUCUGUUCGCUUUGACUAGAAGUUUUCCAUCGCUGCCAUAUAACAUGAGAUGGUUCUUUCUCAUACGAAUAUCGCACCCUGAUUCCGUAGCCUGUCCUAAACUGAUAAUAACUGAUAAUGUUGCUUCGAAGGUCAGGUAUAAAAUAGACAUCUGCUAAGAUUUUACGUUCACCAUCCUUGCUUACGAAUAGUGUAGACCCUUUGCCUUUUAUGUCGAUGCGAGAAUCAUCCCCAAAUCGCAAUUUUCCUGUAAUAUUCUCAUCGAUCUUUGUGAAGAAGCUUCGAUUUCCUGUCAUGUGGUUACUAGCACCAUUGUCUAGAUACCACACAUCGUCUUCAGCCGGAGAUGACUCAAAGUUAUUUGGUUUGACGUUUCUCUCGUUGAGAAACACAACCUCGUGCAUCAUUAGUUUUUCUCCUUCAUGUGUUUCUUCUUCAUUGUCAUUAUCUUCUCUGGUUUCUUGCAGUUUUAACAGUCUAUCAGGGCAGUGUGACGCGUAGUGACCUGUUUGAUCACACCGAUAACAGGUGACUUUGGACAUAUCUCUUGCCUCGUUGGUCCUACCACGUCCUCUUCCUCUGCUGUAAAACCGUCCUCCACGACCUCUGCCUCUGUUUUCACCGGUGUAGCCUCGGUUUGAUUGACUUUCGCUAUUCGCAUACAUUAAUUUGUUCGAAUCUUCUUGGGUUUCCUCGUCUUCUCCUUGGAUACGUUCCUCGUACGCUUUUAAACGCCUUGUGAUAUCUUCGAAGGUAGUAUUGUUGAGAUCCAAUACUUGUUCGAGAGAUGCCACAAUGUGUAUGUAUCGUUUCCUUGGAAGACUCUUCAGAAACUUUCGAACAAGCUUUGAUUCCUCGAUAUUAGUUCCCAAAGCCGCAGAUUUUGAGCAGAUCUCCGAUAGUUUUCCGCUGAAGUCAUCAAUUGUUUCUGUAUCCUUCAUCUUUAGUUUGUCAAACUCAGCCAUUGACAUCUGCAAUCGAGCUUCCCGGACUCUCUCGGCUCCUACGUUUUUGGCUUUGAUCGCAUCCCACACCUUCUUUGCUGUUGCUAAUUCUCCGAUUUGUAGUAUAGCUGUUUCGGGCAUGGACUGAAAGAUUAAGGCCAUCGCUACAUCGUUUUUCUCGGCAUCGGUCAGACUCUGUUUCUACGACUUCCCAUACUUUAUGAACUCUGAGUAAUAUCCGCAUUCUCAUCGCCCAUACGGUAUAAUUGGUCGAGUUCAGCAUCGGACAUUGGAUGGUGGACGUACUCAGCUCUUUAGGUCGCGUGACAGGAACAAUAUCUCCCAUAGCUUCGGUUUUAAUGAUCUUCGUAUUUGACUUGUUCGGAUCGAUAGAUUAGAGGCUCUGAUACCAAAUAAUAUCGACUUUGGCUCAAGAACAGGAUUUAAUAAAACUCUCUUUUAUUAAAUUUUAGGAAACUCUCUCAAAACCUAAAGAUCCAAAACACAAAACUCAUAAGUUAUGCCACACAUUGGCAUCUCCUUAUAUAGAUGUUUAGUUACUCCUAAAUUUAAUAGAAUUAGAUAACUCCUAAUUUCCUUUUUCUUAACCUUAACACUUUUAGGAAACAUUACUUAAAGAUAAUCUAGAACAAUCUAGAAGCUUGCUCUUCAAGCUUCUAGAAAGCUUACUCCAACAGCAACAUGUACGUCACGUUGAGAGACGUUUGACUCAAUUCAUAGCUUUCUCGAUUGCUGUGAACUUCUUAAUGUUAACUUGUGAACCAGAAUCAGCUGAAGAGGUCGGUAAUUGAACGUAAACCAAUAUUUAUAUCAUGAACCGGUAAUUGUUAAUAUUGAAGUUCGAAUCGGUCUAAAGUUUUACUAGAGGGGAUUAGGAAAAACGGUCUAUUCCCCCAUGAAUUUUAUGUUUUCUAAAAAUCAAUACACUAACUAUUGAACUAUAUUUAUAACUAUAUGAAAUAUUAAAAUGCGGCCAAUUUCAUCAAAACCGUAAACAAUAUUAAUUUUCUGUCUACAAUUAAUGACGUAGCAGACACGUGGCAUACCAGUUUAAUAUAUAAUUUGAUCAAUUUUUUUUUUAAGUGCGUCGUUUUGAUAUUUCUUAAAAAAUGCAUUUCUUAAGAAUCUAACACACAAGUAAGGGUUUAGUGAGGGCUAGGGAUCGUUGAGUCAAUUUAUCAGUGAACAAUGCGACUUAAUAUAUGAUUGUGUGUAGAGAACAAUGCGACUUAUGAAGUUAUCAAUGAGGGCUAGGGAUCGUUGAGUCAAUUUAUAGAAAAUGUGUGAGGUUGAUUAUUUAUGCAUAUGGUCAAUGCAACACGUCGAAUCUAUUAAAUUUUGAUACAAGUUUUUGUUUUUUUUUGGGGAACUACUUUCCUAACUUUAGACAAUAUUUGAUCUUUAGAAUAGUUUCAAGAAAAAUUCAUACGCAAAUUUCAAAGUGAAUUUCGUUUACCAAUUGUUUUGUUUUUUAUCGUUGUUUUUUUUUUUGGUAAAAGGGUGGAAAAAUUGCAAGAAACAAAUUAUCUUGGCAACAAAACAAAAUGAUGAACAUUUUUUUUAACGAAGUUUCUGAAUCCUCCCUUAGUUUAUGAAAUACACAAGAAAGCAUUUUAUUUUUUCUUUUUCAAAAAAUCAAAGGAAACUCGCUUUUACGUUAAUUUCAAAGUGAAUUUCGUUUACCAACUGUAUUUUUUUGGCUAAUAUCGUUGUGUUUUUUUGGUAAAAAGGUGGAAAAAUUACAAGAAACAAAUGAUUUUGGAAACAAAAAUGAUGAACAUUUUUUCUUAACGAAGUUUCUGACCCUUAGUUUAUAAAAUACACACGAGAGCACUUCUAUUCUAUUAAAACAGAAGCACAUUUAGUGCUUGCAUCCAAACACUCUCAAAGUUUUUUUAUAAUAUUUUACAUUAUUUUUAUAUUUAAUUACCAAAAACUAGUUAAUAAUUUAGAUAUUUUUAGAUUUUCCAAAAUCUAAGUCAUCUUUAAUUUAAAUUUCAAAUUAUUAGAAAUUUAAUUAAAUUUAGUUACAAAAAUUUGCAUUAAAUUUAAUUUAAAUUCAAAAAAUUCAAAAAAAUAUAAUUAAAUUUUAUUACGAAAAUUUAGAUAUACUUUAGAAUUUCUUAAAUACAGGAAAGGUUAAAUUUAAAAUUUUAAAUUUAAAUAAUAUAUUUAUAAAAAUGCAUAGUAAAUAAAUAUUUUAUCGUAUUUUAUCAUAAACAAUCGGUCUAAAAUAUCAAAUAUUUGAGAUUAAUAAAUAUUUAUAUUAUACAAUAAUAUGAUCGAGCUGAUUAGAGUUAUAUAUAUAUAUAAGGUCUAUAUGUUAAUUUAUUAAAACAUGUAAGAUAUUAAGAUGAUUUGAGACAAUUAAACUAACAGGUUAGCACGUUUAUAUAUAUUUUUUUAAAUAGCACAAAUAGUAAAUAAAUAUCUUAUUAUAUUUUUUCAUAAUCAAUUGGUCCAAAUAUUCCAUAUUAGUGAAUAUUUAUAGGAUUAUACAAUUAUAAUUAUAGUCUUAUACAAGUUAGUUUGUCAAAACAUAUAAAAUAUUAAAAAUGAUUUAAGAUAACUAAACGGAUGAAUUAGCAAAUUCAUAGAUAUAUAGAUUGUUUAUGUGUAAAUCUAAAUUCACAUAAUAACAAAGUUUAUAAUUAUGUAUUCUACUAAUAUACAAAUUUUACUGUUUAAAAUUAAAAUAUGAUAAGAAUUUUUUUAUUUAAAAAAAUAAAUAAUAAAAAUAAGUUAUAUCUAAACAAAAAAGAUAAAUACAACUUAUAUUAGAAAUAAAAAAUAAAAAAUUCCCGACGAAUGCACGGGAUUAAAAUCUAGUUUUUUAAUUAAAAAAUCAAAGUAGGCUCGCUUUUCCGUUAAUUCUCUGCUAACUGACUUUACACGGCGGCGAUGGCCGUUACCUCUGAAACUCCCGACGGCUCUAACGGCGGCGAUCCAAACAAGAAACCAGAAGACGUCGAGAAAGAAGAGGAAGAAGAAGAGAAUCAAAAGGAGAAACCUGAAGACGAAGAAGAAGAAGAAAUACAGUAUCGCUCGAUUUCUUUCCCAAAUCUUCCACACGAUCUCACCGAACUUUGCGUCGCACUCCUCCGGAGAUGCAAUUACCCGAGCCUAUCCCUCAUCUCCAAGGGCUUUCGCACUCUUGCCGCUUCGCCGAGACUCUACGACGCUCGCUCGCGACUCGGCGUCACCGAAUGCGUUCUUUACGCCUCCAUCGGAUUCCCUACUUCCUCAAGCCCGAGCUGGUACAUUCUCCGCCGUGACGAGAUCUCCUUGCGACUGUGCAGAAUCGACAAACUCCCGAUUCAUUGGGGAUCUGCCGUCGUCACAAUCGGACCGACGAUGUACGUAAUCGGAGGAAGAUCCGACGGGAAACCCACAUCGGAUGUGACUCUAAUCGAUUGCAGAUUCCACACAUGAAAAACAAAUGAUCCCUCGUUUCAAUUGGUUCACUGCAGAAGACACAACUGGUGGUUGCAUUCUGGUUCCAGUUUUUGAUUCUGUCCCCUGUGGCUAAUCUGUUCUUGAUCGCUAGCCAGAGCAUAAAUGAGUACUUGGGAGUAGCGUGGGGAAACCAAACUCCUCUGCACCAAGGCACGAUCUGUCUCCCUGUUUUUUUGGCUUCAAACCUCGGUUUAUACUGUCCAUUUUUACCCUUCCACUGUGUCUCGUCUCGAUCCUUGGGUGAUUUUUCUCAAUCUCAACUGCUCUAUCUCUGUUUCGAUCUCGUUAAGUAGGCCCUGGCGGUGUCUCCGCCUUCUUGGUCUGUCAAGAACCUCAGCCAUCGUCGCAUGUUUUGAAAAUCCCAGGUCAAUGAUGCCUCGUUCCCCAACUAGCUCCAGCAGACAUCCUUUACUGCUCCAUGAGUCAUACCAGAAAGACGUAUGUGUUCCAUUUUUUACCUCCACUCGGUAGAAGUUUUUUGCGAGGGUUCUGUACUUAAGAAGCUUCUUCCACAUCCAGGAGCCCAUUGAUGUUGUAUCUUUUAUUGCCCAGAAAGACCCUUCCCGUAUAAGCUGCGCCUGAAUCCACUGUACCCAUAAAGAGCUCGGGGAUGACAUAAUCCUCCAAAUAAGCUUUAGACAGCAAACUUUAUUUGCAACCUCAAUCGAGAUCUCAAGCAGGAUCCUUUUUCCCAGGGAAGGUGUUUGGGCACGAAGGAACGAUGGUGAAGAAUUGAAGAGUUUGUGGAAAGCAUCGUCUUGUGUGGUUGAUGAUAAGCUGUAUUCGAUCGAUCCUUUGUGUAGUCUUGGACAUCCAGUAGUCGUGUAUGAUCCAACGGAGAGGACUUGGAGAUCUGUGAGAGGUGUCUAUGGUUUUCCUACUAAUAUCUCUGAUUAUGACUCUAAAAUGGCAAAUCUUGGUGGGAAGCUGGUGGUUUUGGCUGGUAAGAGCCCGUUGUUUAGGUCUGAUCAUCACGGGGAAGAAGAGAUUUGGUGCUUAGAGAUCCAUUUGGAAAGACGUCAAGAUGGUGAGAUUUGGGGGAAUGUCGAAUCAAUCAAGCGUGUGCUUACAUCAAUCGAGUCGCCUUACAUUGAGCAUUGUCGAACUUUUACCCUUUGAUGAUGCUUGGGAUUGGUGUUCUUGCAGGUAUGUAUGUUUAUGUGAUAAAGUUAUGGCAUUUUCGUUACCCUCUCAAAGGCUUUACUUAUAGGACAUUCAUGAACUUGCAGGUGAAUCAAAGUGACUCAGAAGCUGUAUCUGACACCUCAAGAGUAACUCUUACUUCUUUACCUCUCUGCACAGUGUAUAUACUCUUUACAGAAUUAGCCUUGAGUAGAUUUCUUAAGCUGUAAAGAAGAUAGGUUUAUUCUUUUAGCUGCCUUUAUACAAAAAUUCUUACGAAAUUUGUUGUUGAAUUGCAUCUCUGCACAGUGUAGAUACUCUUACAGAAUUAGCCUUGAGUAGAUUUCUUGAGCUGUACAGAAGGUAGGCUAUUCUUGUAGCUGCCUUUAUAGAAAAAUUCUUACGAAAUUGUUGAAAUGCAUCUUUAGUUAGCUAUGUCUUUAGUUAGCUAUCAUUUUGCUAUCUUUUUUUUUUGUAUGUUCUGCAAGUCAUAUUCAAGAUAUAGCAGAAAUCAAACCUGCUUCUACUAGAAGAGCAAUGUGAAAUCGUGGUUGAGAUAAGAAGCAUAACAAAUUAAUUUAGUUAACCGGUGGUUUUGACUUUAUGGGUAACUACAAUAUCAAAUUGAGGAAAUACAAAGACCUGAAGCGUACAUAGAAUGUUCAAUGUGGAGAGAAUAUUACCUUUAUAGGUACCAAAACCCAAUUUACUUAUACCAUUUGAGAAAUAUGAAAUUCUGGUUUAGAGAUGAAGCAAAACGAACGGUUUAGCUAUACAUUAUAGAUAACUACAAGUCUAAAAUAGAAAAUAUCAAGUUGACAAUAUACAAAGACUAGUCAAAACACAACCAUCCAAAACUUUGAAUUUAACAUUUGUUGACACCAUUCGAAGGAAAGAUACAGGACAAAUUAGGGUUUCUAAAUAGAAAACAGAGAGAUUUGUGACUUGUGAGUAACGUUAAGAGACGUUUGGUUGCUAGAGUUAUAGAUUUCCUGUUCUUCUGAGUUUAACAAGACCCAUUGUGCUUCUACUAUAUAUGAAAUCUUGGUUCAGUUAUGUGAAGAUGUUACGUGAGCAAAACAAACUAAGUUGCAACUCAAAAUGUAUUUAACUGUAUGCUGAUUUUACAAGAAAAGUUUCAAAUAAUACUUUUGCCAAGAAAUGAAGAAAUGCCACUUUUUUUUGUUAUGAUAAGAAAAUGGAAACAAGUAAAAUUGCUUAUAUAUCGUGGUAUAUUUUUUCUUGUUAUAGUUUUGAUUUGCUUAAUUUUGGUUGCAAAUUGAAGAAUUUUAAUUGUAAUAGUAAUCUUUUUACAAAGGAAGAAACCACAAUUUAGAAUUAAGUUAGAUUUUUUGUCACGUGAGUGUCCAAUCAGGUUUUUAAAACUACUAUUUUAUCUCUCGGUUUAUGCAAAAUGACUAUUUGAAGUUUUAUUUGGUAAAUUAGGUCUAUUUUUUGCCGCCAUCUUUAUUUUUUUUUCCGUCAUCUUUUAGUCGAUAAUUAAAAACAAAACAGAGCAAUUAAUGACUGAAGAGUAUAUCUAUCUACUAAUCAGUCAUCAGUAAGUAGUAGACACAAGACAAGAAAAUCGAAUUAGGCCAUCAUAAUCUCUGAAACUUCCGACGACUGAUGGCGAUGGUUGUAAUCUCCGAGAUUACCGACGAUUCUAACGGCGGCGAUCCAAAAUACAAUAUAAGUUAUGAGAAGACAAGCUUAAAAAAUAGCCAUCAAUGAGGUCUGGUAGUAAGUUUAUUAGACCUAUUAUUAUGUCAGUCAAAAGUGCUAAACAAUUUUUUAUAACUCUAACGAAAUACCGUUCCUUCGUAUAUGAGAAGACAAGCUUAAAAAAUACCCACCAAUGAAGUCUGCUACUAAGUCUGUUAUACCUGUUAUUAUAUCAGUCAAAAGUAUUAAAAAAUUGUUUAGAGGUCUAAUGAAAUAUAUUCUAAGUAACAAAACAUCGCCAAUAAAGGGUUUGGUAUCAAUGUUAUACAUGUUAUACAUGUUAUUAAUCUGUUUAGCAUACUAAAUUUUUGAUUAGAUUGGUUAAUAUCUAUUAGGGCCCUAACUCUGACUUUUUAGAGGAUAAUAAUAAAAAUACACCAGUACAAAGUAAUUGGUAACAGUUUGGAGACCCAUAAAAGACAACAAUUUGCCACAACAAAGAUAGAGUAGAGUGUCUUGCAAUACCAAGUAACAUGAAAAAAAGGGUUAUCGGACGAGCACAUGAAAUCCUCAGAGUGGUUCAGCGAAUUCGUCAAAGAAUUUCAUAGCCAAUACUUGACUCGCGUUGACAAGUUCUUCUGGUGUCAUCGACUUGCAUCUCUCCACACCCCCAAUACAAUGCAUCAUUGCCAAAAGCACAGCGGAUACUCCAGAAUCAGUACAUAUGGGUUAUGUGGAAUCCUUUUGGCUCUUUGUAUCGAGAACACCUUAUACUCGAUUGGACGUUUGUAACCCGUUAACUUUUUCAAGAUGAACGACAACAUCUGAGCUAGAGGUGUAAACUCUUUUUUUGUGGCCGCCUCUGUCACAAGUUCGGCUUGAGUCAUCCCACCCUUGAACAUCUCCUUCCUGAAUUGAAAACCUUCACCAAUAAGUUGAACCACAUAAUCCACUUUGGGAUCGUCGGGAGUAAUACUGAAAACAUCAACCUGUAAAUAUAUUACACGGUUAACAUAAUGCUUAGAUAAGGGAGUCGUACAAAACAGAUAACCGAACUGUUAGAUGGCAGUAAAAAUUGUUAGCGGUUACAUAUGCGAGUCGUUUAAACAGCUAACAGAAUUGUUACAUGGCAAUAAAGUUGUUAGCUGUUACAUAUGACAUUCCUUUUAAACAGAUAACGGGAAUGUUAGAUGGGUAUCAAAGUUGUUAGCUGUUACAUGUGCAUCAACUUUAAAACAUAUAACGGGAUUGUUAGAUGGGUAUCAAAUUUGUUAGCAUUUAAAUGUGCCACCCCUUUAAACAGGUAACAGAAUUGUUAGAUGGGAAUCAAAGUUGUUAGUUGUUACUUACUUUACAUUCUUCAUCUACUUCCCUCGCAUGGCCGGGACUGAGCCCAAGUUUCGAAACCUCCGAUCUGGGGUUUGUCUUAGAUGUAAUCUGAUCUGGGUCAAUCGUUGUGUCCUGAUCUAACAAGCCCUUACCACCUCCUCCCGAUUGAACGGCAUCGUCAAUGUCAACAUCUUCGUCUUCACCACCUUCAGAAUCAAAAGAAUCAGAAGAUUCAUUCACUUGAACAACCUCCGUAAGCGCCGGAAUGGCCUCCACCAGAAUUAACUGAAUAUCAUGAAAAAAAUCUUUUACUGCGACGGUGCUUUGUGCAAGGGCAACCUCAUAUUUGGUUUUUAUGUUAGCGAUUAGCAUCUCGAAUCCAAGUCUACCCCAUGGAUAUGCGAAGAAAUCUUCCAAAUCUCUGAUUAACUCGACAUGGUCAUACACGAUUUUCGACCGGUGGUUGGUAGGGCAGAGAACAGCGCCGGUAAUAGCAGGGCAAGUGUACUUCAAACGAGUAGUCCAGUCGACAACGGUUUUCUUCUUAAGCAUCUUGGUUGCCAAAUCAACUUUGAGAAGUCUGGUGAUUAUGUUAUGCCCGAAACUCCCAGUAACCGUCGCCAGUGGCGAUGAGUUUCCCGAAAGGCGAUUUUCGUAAGUAGUUUCUCUCCUCCUCGUCAAGAGCAUCGAGAAUGUUACUGAUGGUAUUCGCUUUAUGAUAGGAGUUCACCCUCUCGCCGGUGGGUUCGUCGCCGGCGGCAAAAUUUCUGGUCGGGAGUUCUUGAAGCGCCAUUAGUGACCAGAUGCAAGUGGGGAAAAAACGUCUCUGCAUUAGGAAGUUCCAGAGAUGAAUUGUUGUAAAUAUCUUCAAUUUGAAAUACUCUUUUCAAAUUUUUAAGUAGCAUUAUUACACUAAAGUCCUAGGGGUUCUUUUACCUGUAGCCUAUAACCGUUAGAGUUAUAGGGAGUUUUUUGUAUUAAUGAAAAUAUGUAAAUAGGUGUAUAACGUAUAAUUUUAUAUGUUUGCAAAUACGAUCGUAUUCUAUGUUACAGCAUGCAAAUUCUCUAAAUUAAAUUAUAUUAUAAAUUACAUUUAUUGUCGCAAACAUUAUCAUACCGAAACUUCUUAGUUACUUAAACCAUAACUUACAUGUUAUCGUUGCAUGGCAAUUAUUGAUCUGAUGUAGAACAAAAAGCUUUUUACUUAAUCGAUAAUACUAUCGCUAUUGCAUAUGUUUUGUUUCUGAGUGCUUGUUUUCUCAAUAUUUUUUUCCCUCGGUAGCAAUCAUGGCUGCUGAAAAUAAUGAGAUGAAGAAUGAGGAAGAAGUAAGUUGGGUUUUUGUUCUCUUAAGGGAAAAAGGAUCCUCUUUCUUAAAUAUUAAGUUACCCAUAUACUUUUGAGGAUAAAUCAUGAUUGUAUGGUUUUUCUUUUUUGGUCAUCCUUAGCUCCCACCCUUUGAUCCAACCAAGAAGAAGAAAGUUGUCAUUCAGGAUCUUGUCAAGGACUCAACAGUCACAUACGGAGAAAUAUGAUUCAUUGCCUGGUAUGUUGAAGAGAGUGUUUAAAUUAGAUGUUUUGUGUCUUUCUAAAAAAAUUUUGAACUCUAUAAGCCUGUGUUUUGCUGAUUAUGUGCCUAUGUGUUUAGAUGGUAUUUUUUAAUUCCUUUUUUGUGCUAAGGAUGUGGAAGUUAGAUUACAUGAAUAGAAAUGGAAUCCUUUAUCAUUGUUCUCACCUCAUCUUCUACUCUCUCUGAAUGUGGAAGUUAUAGCUAUAUUGACUUAAAAAUGAGUAGGUAGUUGUAAAGUUUAUGCCUGAAUGAUUCUGAGAAGAACAAGAAUGGAACUGCAGAUCAUUCUAUGUGGAGAAACUAUGAUGACCUGAACAAGAACUUCUCCUCAAACCAUUCAUUGUCUAAUGUCUCUUGAGUGCAUCAAAAUUGGCUGGCCAAUGCGUCUUGACCAUGAUUUGUUCUGUAUAGAAUCGUUAGAUACCAGCAAACCACAGAGAUGGCAAGGAAUACUUAGAUUUCGCAAGCAGAAUAAGAAAACCGAGGAAGAAAUGGAGGAUGACGUAGAACUUGAGGUACAUACUCUGUUUUUGUCGUCUAUACAGCAUUGGGUCUAUACACUGUUUUUGUUACAGUGUAAGUAUAGUCUCAUUUAUACGAGAUUUUGGAUCAAAUGGACAUCUUUCACAUAAAUGGAUCAUGUGGCAUCUUCUCAUCUUUGCUUUCUUUGAUUUAUUUUUUCCCUUUAGAUUUCUAAAUUCGGAGAUAGUGUUCUUUCAUAUUCUGUUGUUGUUUAUGCGUUGUUCGUUGUUCUUAUAACUGAUCAAAGAGAUAAUAUUUUUUUGAUAAUAUUUUUUUAGCUGUCUUAUAUUUGUUCCGUGUAUACAUUGUUCCUGCUCUAGUGAGCUAUAUAUUUGUUUCCUGGUUCUCAUGUCUGUGGUUUUGUAUCUUUGCGUUUAUUUCGUUCUGUUUUUAUCUCCUUGCGAUUGUUUUGUUAUUAUAUUUGUUCAUGUGGCAUCGUCUCCCAUAUUUCCCUUCUGUUUGACGUUUAUCUCUCUCCUUCUUUUUAAAAUAUAACCUAUUUUUUGUGUAAUAUUGUCUUUUACAGUUGUGUUGUUGUGCUUUUAUGGGUCAGAUAUUUCCAGAUUCUGAUCCUAAAUGGAAAGAAGCGCAGAUCCUUCAGUUGUGAACCUAAAAGCUAAAACUCACGAGAAAGUUGAUAGCCUUGAAGAAUAACAGAAGCAUUGCAGCUCAUGAAGAAGUGAGUCAAUUUUAUCACAUUCCUUAAAUGUAUCAAUCUUCUUAAGAAAACACUUUUUAAUGUAAUCCCUUUAGACUAGGUUUAUUAAUACAUUCUUAGAAAUAGUGAAAAUCGAAUCAUGUGAUGACGAUACAUUGAAAUGGAAAAAUGAUUCUGGUUUCUGUCAGUUUUAAAUAAAACUUGAAAUUAUGACUUUUUUAGCUGUUUGGAUUGGUAACUUCUAGAAAUGGAUACCGCCAGUAACACCUGAGAUACAUUAGUUUUUUUUUUUGAAAAAAUGUUAAAUUAAAACAAAUUAUAAUUGGACACUUGAGAUCCAUUAGUUAUUACUUAUAGAAGUAUUUUAGACGAUUUAGUGAUUAUAAUUGAGUUAUCAAGGACUUCUUUUCAUACGUAAAACUGAGCUUCUUGUCAUACUUAAAACUGUAUCCUAGAAGAAUAUGAAUUUAGAGAGAAGAAAAAUGACAAAGGCAAUGAAGAAGGAAAAGAAAAAAAAAAGCAUAUAAAGAAAAAGAAAACUUGGAAGAAGAAGAAGAAGUUUGAGAAGAUGAUGAUGGAGAAGAAGAAAAAUCCAAAAAAGAAGAAAACUGAAAGAUAAAAAAGAAAAAAAGAAGAUCAAGACACAACAUAUAGAAGAAGUAGAAGUCGGUAACUUUCAUGAAGAUGAAAUAAAAAGAUGAAAAAUAAGAAAAACGAAAGAUGUAUGAGAGGAAGAAGAAAUAGAAAAAAUAGAAGUUGAAAACAAUAAGAUGGAAGAAAGAAAAGAAGUGAAAAAAAAAGAACAUGAAAAAAGAAAAACCAAUAAAAUAUGAAGUUAGAGAAGACAGAAAAUAAAGAAUGAGAAGUGAUAAAAACAAAAAAUAUAAGGAAAUAGCGAUAAAGAAUAAAAUUAAAAACACAGAAGAAAAAAUAAGAAACAAAAAAGUUAUGUUUUAGUUUAAUUAAUUUGUAGAUUUAUUCAUAUAUUUAUAUAAUACUUUUUGGCAAUUAAUUUUGGAUUGGGUUUACUUUUUGGAUUAAUUUUAUUUUGAUCUCUUAUGUAUUAAAUAGUUAUUUUAAUUUUCUUUAAUUUAUAACAUAAAUUUUUUUUUUUUUUUUUUUUUAAAACCUUUUGGCGCCUUGACUAAACACCUAGUAAUUAAUUAAGAUCGUUAUUCGUUGCAGUUCUUAUAAACAAGUUGUAAUGUUAUACGCUUGUUUCAUCUAUCACAAGACUUCGGAUUGUAACAGACGUACGUGAACUUGUAUGUGAAUGAUAUAGUUCAACCGGAGGCGAUGAUUGUAACUUUGUCAAUUAUUACUUGAUUCAAAGCACCAUUUUUAUUUAUUUAUUUGAUAAGAGACAUGUUGAUCGUAGUCAAAGCAACACCUUCCAAAUAUCAAUAUAUUAGGACACUGCAGGUUACAAAGCAAAAGACUUGAAGCUUAUUUUGUUUAUCUUCUAGUUAAACCUCUUUUGAAUGAUCAACACGUCCACGACGGCGAUGACGACGGCUUGUGCGAGUUGAGUUAGCCUCUUGCACAGUGAUGCUGCUUUCCCCGAGCUUCUGACCGUUCAUUCCGUUAAUGGCAUCCCACAUUGAUUUCUCGUCUUUGAAAGUAAGAAAUGCAUAAACCUUUAUGUUUUCAGAAUCACGUUGAUCUGUAAGGGAAAUAAGAUUGUAGAAUAUUGUGUUGUCUUCAUAAUGAUCUCGUACAAGGCAUAUAUAUAUACACAAUAUAAACCCUAGAAUAUCUUGACGGCUAAGCUAUAGACACCGACAUACUUGAAGCCCAAUAUUACCGAGCCCAAUUCCCUAAUACUCCCCCUCAAGUUGGAGUGUGGAGAUUCGAAACACCCAACUUGGACAUUAGAACUUUAAACUGAGGACGUCCUAAAGCCUUGGUAAGAACAUCAGCAAUCUGAUCUUUGGAACGAACAUGAACCGCAGUAAUAACGUCUUCAGUAACCGCAUCACGAACACAGUGACAAUCACGUUCAAUAUGUUUAGUGCGCUCAUGAAAAACUGGAUUGGCGGCAAUGUGCAUUGCUGCCUCACUAUCGCAAUAGAACGGAACAGGCUGUGUAACCGGAUUGCCAAGAUCACCCAUCAACUGAACAAUCCACUGAAUCUCCUUUGUAGCAAACGCCAUGGCCCGGUAGUCAGCUUCAGCCGUAGAAUGUGAGACAGUACUUUGUUUCUUUGUUUUCCAAGAAAUCGGACAACCGCCAAGUAGAACCACAUAUUCACUAAGGGAACGUCGUGUCAAGGGACAGGAUUGCCAAUCGGCAUCACAAUAGACAGACAACUGAAGAUUGCUAUCGGAUUUCAAGAGAAUACUUUGUCCGGGGCAGCCUUUUAAAUAUCUUACAACACGAAGUGCAGCUGUCCAAUGAGACUGAUGGGGCUCUUGCAUAAACUGUGACAACAAGUGGACAGCAUAACACAAAUCUGGUCUUGUAACAGAAAGAUAGACAAGACGACCAACUAGGCGUCGAUAACAAAAAGGAUCCGAGAGGAGAGGACUUGUAUCCGACGCAAGUUUGUGGUUUUGCUCAAUCGGUGUCAAUGCCGGCUUUGCGCCAAGGAGACCUGUGUCAGCGACAAUAUCAAGGAUACAUUUCCUUUGAGAGAGGAAAAUACCUUCGUCAGAACGUGCUACUUCAAUACCGAGGAAAUAUUUGAGCUUACCCAGAUCUUUCAUGUGGAAACAUUCGCCCAAAUAUGCCUUAAACUUUGUCAAUCUCUCCAUGUUAUUGCUUGCAAUAACCAGAUCGUCCACAUAAAUCAAAACUCGAAUUUCUGUCCCGCCCUUCUCAAAUGUGAAUAAUGAGUAAUCGGAAUAAGAUUGCUUGAAACCGAACUUUAACAGCACAGUAGACAGUUUGGCGAACCAGCAACGUGGUGCUUGACGAAGUCCAUAAAGGGAUUUCCGAAGACGCAGAACCUUAGUAGGAUCAGAGUGCGUAAAACCCGGAGGGAACUUCAUGUAAACUUCUUCUUUGAGGUCACCAUGAAGGAAAGCAUUAUGGACAUCCAUCUGAUGCACUUCCCAAUUCUUUGCGGAAACAACACCUAAAAGACUACGCACAGUCUCCAUUUUAACGACUGGAGCAAAAGUUUCGUCGAAAUCUUCCCCUUCCACCUGAAUAUUUCCCAUAACUACCAACCGAGCCUUAUGACGUUCGAUAGUUCCAUCGGCGUUAUAUUUAAUCUUAUAGACCCACUUGCAGGGAAUAGCAAUCUUUCCAGGCGGAAGUGAUUCAACAUCCCAUGUGUGAUUAUCUUCGAGAGCAACGACCUCGUCUUGCAUAGGAGCAUGCCAAACCUCAUCCUUUACUGCUUCCGUAUAGCUCUUGGGCUCAACACCUGCAGUCACUGCUGCCAAGAAUGCUUGGUGCGAUGGUGAGAACAAGAGAUCAGAGACAUAAGCAUCCAAGGGAUACGGUGUCUUACCUUGGAAAGUUUCUGAAGACGCCGGAGUGGAGCAGAGUGAGGAGAGAUGGGGGUUAAGGGCGGCGGCAUUAUACGUAACAAAGCCUUUGAGACGCGUAGAAGGAAUGCGCUCUCGAUGUCCACGACCUAAUACUUCAACCUCAGUAACUGAAUCAUGGUCAACUUGUCCUGAGGAAGUUUGGGACAGCUCCAAAACAGGGGACUCUGUUGCAACAUGGGGUAUAUCUUCAGUAUUGGGAGAUGGAGUCUCAACUAGAGAUUCCGUCGGAACAGGCAGUGAGUCAGGUGCAGUAGAGGAAAGAGGGGCAGCGGAAUCUGGUGUUGGUGAAUUCGAAGCUUCCUCCACAGCAGCUGACUCAGAACUCCCCCUGACUUCGGAAACCGGAGGCGAUGGAAUUGCCCAAUCGUCAUCACAAAACGACGAAGACGAGAGAUGCUGAGGUGCGACUACGGGUGAGACGGGAGGCAAAGACGAAAAAGGAAAUUCAUCUUCAUAGAACACAACAUCGCGAGAGAUGAUGAACUCCUUCUUGUCUAAAUCAUACACUUUCCAUCCCUUUUGUCCAAAAGGAUACCCAACAAAACGCAACGACGACUGCGGGAGCCAAACUUGUCUUUAUCCCUUGACCGUAAGUGUGUGUAACACAAACUUCCAAAUACACGGAGAUUGUCAUACGAUGGUGUUUGUCCGUAUAAAAUCUCAUAAGGUGUUUUGCCCUUAAGAAUGGCUGUUGGGGUUCGAUUAAUGAGAUGAGUUGCAGUCAUGACAGCUUCUCCCCAAAACUUGAUCGGUAAGCUACGUUGGAAAAGUAACGCGCGAGAUACGUUAAGAAUGUGUCGAUGUUUGCGUUCAACUCUUCCAUUCUAUUGAGGCGUGGCAACGCACGAGGUUUGAUGAAGAAUUCCUUGUUCACGAAAGAACCGAGAUAGACACAUAAACUCUGUGCCAUUGUCACUAUGAACUACCUUCACCGUUUUAUGAAAUUGCCUUUCUGACAUCGCACAAAAGUUCUGAAGCACCAUAUGCACUUCUGUCUUUUCGAGAAGCAAAUAAGUCCAAACUGCUCUUGAAAAAUCGUCAACAAUAGUUAAAAAAUAAACUGCUCCACUGGAGGAUCUGGUUCGGUAAGGACCCCAAACAUCACAAUAAAUUAACUGAAAACAUUCAUUUGAUUUAUUUGAACUUGCAACAAAAACUUCUCUAGUCUGCUUUGCCCGGAAACAUGUGUCACAAGGACUAGGGGGCAGCAGAUUUAUUCAACGAAAACAUAGGUAAUGACGCUAAAGCAGAAAACGACGGAUGCCCGAGCCUCUGGUGCCAACAAUUCUGAUCAGCCAAGCUAACAACCGGACUGGUGACUCGAUGAACCCUUGCAGCCAUGACAUCUUUAAAAUAGUAAACCCCAUCCCUCUCUUCACCUGCUCCAAUCAGGGUCCUCGUGAAACGAUCCUGUAAAACACACAACGUAUCGGUGAGAAGAGCAAAACAAUUGGUCCGUUUUAGCAGCUUUGAAACAGAUAUCAACGAGCAAUUAAGAUUUGGCACAAAUAAAACAUUGUCCAACACAAUAUGGCUUGUUAAUGGAAAUACGCCCAUAUGAGUUGCAAAUGUGCGAUUUCCAUCAGCAAAACCAACAGCACAUGGUGAGAUACGAGACGUGUUCUCAAGAAAAGACAAAUUUCCUGUCAUGUGGUGAGAUGCUCCCGUAUCUAGUAUGAGAUCACCUGCACCACGCUUACCAGAGAGACGAUCGUUGGAGGAUUUAGUUUUCUCCGAAAUCAGCUGAGAAAGUGCUUUCCAUUGCUCUUCGGAAAACUCUGGGAACGAGGACGAAUUGGAUGUGGUAGCAUGAGCGUUGCUUGCGUGCACACCGCCAUUCCCACCUCGUCCUGCACCGCGACCUCGUCUACCUCCGCGACCACCUUUGUUCGCGGCUCUGUUCUGCGCACGAUCUUCCCACCAAGAAGGAAAACCGACUAGCUGCCAGCAGUUUGCUUUGACAUGGCCACUGCGACCACAAUGAGAGCAUUGAGUACCACGUUCAUGUUGUGAACCACCUCCAGACGUAUCAGAAGACGAGUCCCUUUUUGCCACAAAACCCACCGCGUUUUGCUGAGACUCGCGUUCUUUCGCGGAAUUCAGUCUUUGCUCUUCCCGAACUACCUUGGCAUAGAUUUCACCAAGAUCUGUGGAUGCAUCGGAGGAGAUGAUGGCCUGACACAUACCACCAAAACGAGCCUCAUCUAACCCCAUUACAAACUGAUGCAUCUUCUCUUCUUCACGCUCCUUUUCAUACUCAGCAGCAGCACUACAUGUGCACGCAGGAAGAGGUUUGUACAUGUCAAGCUCUUCCCAAAUUUUGGACAACCGUCCGUAAUACUCGAUGACGUCGUCACCGUUUUGUCGACAAACAGCUAACUUCUCCUUCAAGUGAUGCACGCGCACCUUGUUUCCCACAGAGAAACGUUUGCGAAGAUUCUCCCACAACUUGUGUGAAUCUGUGAUGAACGUCACCGUAGAUCGGACCCGCGGCUCAAUGGAAGUGCGGAUCCAACCAACAAUCAUCGAGUUAACCGACAACCACAGCUCAAGUUUUGGAUCGCUUGCUAGUGGCUUUGGUAUGGUGCCCUCGACGAAACCCAACUUCUGUUUUGCACGAAGGGCAUUAGUCAUCUCGCUUGCCCACUCAUUGUAGUUGUCACCGUUUAACAUCACCGACGUUAUUAGGGCACCAGGAUUGUCCGAGCCAUACAGAGUGUACGGCGUCGCAGCUCCAGCGUUGGAAACCAUUGGAGCGGUGGUCGUAAUUGUACUCACGGAAGACUCAACACCAUCGACCAUGGCUAAUCCUUGAAUCGAACUUUGAACAAGGAAGUAAACAAGAACACGCUAAAACGAACUUCGGAUUAGCGAAAGAGAAAAAAACAACUGCCUUUAGGUCUCAGAAACGAUGUCGCUCUGAUACCAUGUAAGGGAAAUAAGAUUGUAGAAUAUUGUGUUGUCUUCAUAAUGAUCUCGUACAAGGCAUAUAUAUAUACACAAUAUAAACCCUAGAAUAUCUUGACGGCUAAGCUAUAUACACCGACAUACUUGAAGCCCAAUAUUACCGAGCCCAAUUCCCUAAUAUGAUCUUUAAUGACCUGUGAAACAAUUUACAGAUGAAUCAAAACUCCAAUACCACGGUGCAUGGUAAAUUGAUCCCAAAAACAAAACAAGAAAACAAAAAAAACCAACCGUUGUAUAUGUAACUUCGCCAAAGGGAGAAAAUAAAAUGCACUUUCAAGAUCAUCUUCUUCAGUGUCCGAGUCCAGAUCGCCAAUAAAGCACGUGAAUUCGAUAUCUUCGGACGCCAUUUCUGAAAGAGAGAUAUAAGACAAUUUAUGGUUUUUAUAAGUAGAGAACAAUGCGACUUAUCAAGGUUAUGAGUGAGGGCUAGAGACGUUGAGUCAAUUUAUAGAAACUGUGUGAGGUUGAAAAUUUAUGCAUAUGGUCAAUGCAACACGUUGAAUCUAUUAAACAAAACUAUUCUUGAAAUCCUAAACUUUAGACAAUAUUUGAUCUUUAGAAUAGUUUCAAAAAAAAGUCAUAAGCAGAUUUCAAAGUGAAUUUCGUUUACCAAUUGUUUUUUUCCGGCUAAUAUCAUUUUUUUGGGGUAAAAAGGUGAUAAAUUACAAGAAACAAAUUAUUUUGGAAACAAAAAUGAUGAACAUUUUUUGUUAACGAUGUUUCUGAAUUCUCCCUUAGUUUAUAAAAUACAAGUUUUUUGUUUUUUUUGUUUAAGACCUAGUUCCUAAACUUUAGACAAUAUUUUCUCUUUAGAAUAUAGUUUCAAGAAAAAUUCAUAUGCAAAUUUCAAAAUGAAUUUCGUUUACCAAUUGUUUAUUUUGUUUCCCGGCUAAUAUCGUUGUUUUUUUUUGGUAGAAAGGUGAGAAAAUUACAAGAAAACAAAUUAUCUUGGAAACAAAUUAAAAUGAUGAACAUUUUUUUAACGAAGUUUCUGAUCCUCACUUAGAGAGAGCAUUUAUAUUUUCUUUUCAAAAAAUCAAAGUAGGCUCGCUUUUCCGUUAAUUCUCUGCUAACUGACUUUACACGGCGGCGAUGGCCGUUACCUCUGAAACUCCCGACGGCUCUAACGGCGGCGAUCCAAACAAGAAAUCAGAAGAUGUCGAGAAAGAAGGGAAAGAAGAAGAUGAGAAUCAAAAGAAAUACAGUAUCGUUCGAUUUCUUUCCCAAAUCUUCCACACGAACUCACCUAACAAAGAGAUAGAAGAAGAGAAUCAAAAGGAGAAACCUGUAGAUCAAGAAGAAGAAAUACAGUAUCGCUCGAUUUCUUUCCCAAAUCUUCCACACGAAGUCACCGAACGUUGCGUCGCACUCUUCCGGAGAUGCAAUUACCCGAGCCUAUCCCUCAUCUCCAAGGGCUUUCGCACUCUCACCGCUUCGCCGAGACUCUACGACGCUCGCUCGCGACCCGGCGUCACCAAAUCAGUUCUUUACGCCGCCUUCGGAUUCCUUCCAUCCCCAGGCCCGAGCUGGUACAUUCUCCGCCGUAACGAGAUCUCCUCACGACUGUUCAGAAUCGACGAACUCCCUUCGAUGCUUUGGGGAUCUGCCGUCGUCGCAAUCGGAUCGAAGAUGUACGUAAUCGGAGGAAGCGCCGGCGGGAAACCCUCAUCGGAUGUGACUCUAAUCGAUUGCAGAUCCCACACGUAUCGCUUGCUCCCGAGGAUGCGUAGGCCUCGCUGCCGGGCAGCCGCCGGAGUAAUCGACGGGAAGAUAUACGUAGUCGGAGGUUGCGCGAGGCGAUCUUCUACGACUUGGGUCGAAUCGUUCGAUGUAAAUUUCUGAGACUUGGAGUACAUUCGUCUCACAUCGGAUUUAGAAGCGAUUGGAGAGGAGAGUUUGUGACAUGUGCGGUGAUGGAGGAGAAGAUUUACAUGCUGGAUCCUGAUCGUUGUUUGAUUUACAAUCCCAGGGGAGGUGUUUGGGAAACUAGAGUUGAAGAAUUGAAGCGUUUGUGGAAAGCAUCGUCUUGUGUGGUUGAUGAUAGGUUGUAUUCGAUCGAUCCUGCGUGUAGUCCUGGAAGUCCAUUGGUCGUAUAUGAUCCAAAGGAGAGGACUUGGAGACCUGUGAGAGGUGUGUAUGGUUUGCCUAAUAGUAUUAAUAUCUCUGAUCAUGACUGUAAAAUGGCAAAUCUUGGUGGGAAGCUGGUGGUUUUGGCUAGUAAGAGCCCGUUCUUUAGGUCUGAUCAUCACGGCGUAGAAGAGAUUUGGUGCGUAGAGAUCAAUUUGAAAAGACGUCAAGGUGGUGAGAUUUGGGGGAAUGUGGAAUCAAUCAAUCGUGUGCUUACAUCAAUCGAGUCGCCUUACAUUGAGCAUUGUCGAACUGUUCCUUUGAUGAUGCUUGGGAUUGGUGUUCUUGCAGGUAUGUAUGUUUAUGUGAUAAAGUUAUGGCAUUUUCGUUACCCUCUCAAAGGCUUUACUUAUAGGACAUUCAUGAACUUGCAGGUGAAUCAAAGUGACUCAGAAGCUGUAUCUGACACCUCAAGAGUAACUCUUACUUCUUUACCUCUCUGCACAGUGUAUAUACUCUUUACAGAAUUAGCCUUGAGUAGAUUUCUUGAGCUGUAUAGAAGGUGGGCUAUUCCUUUAGCUGCCUUUAUACAAUAGUUCUUACGAAAUUUGUUGUUGAAUUGCAUCUCUGCACAGUGUUGAUGAUACAUGAUACUCUUACAGAAUUAGCCUUGAGUAGAUUUCUUGUAGCUGCCUUUAUAGAAAAAUUCUUAUGACAUUUGUUGUUGAAAUACAUCUUUAGUUAGCUAUGUUUUGGGGGUUUUGUGCCAGUGCACUAAACCACUAACAUAGUCUCAUGUUUUCUCUAUCAUUUUGCUAUCUUUUUUUUGUAUGUUCUGCAAGUCAAAUUCAAGAUAUAGCAGAAAUUAAACCUGCUUCUACUAGAAGAGCAAUAUGAAAUCCUUGGUUGAGAUAAGAAGCAUAACAAAUUAAUUUAGCUAACCGGUGGUUUUGACUUUAUGGGUAACUACAAUAUCAAAUUGAGGAAAUACAAAGACCUGAACUUAUCUACAUAGAAUGUGCAAUGUGAAGAGAAUAUUACCUUUAUGGGUAACAAAACCCAAUUUACUUAAACCAUAUGAGAAAUAUGAAAUUUUGGUUUAGAGAUGAAGCAAAACGAACGGUUUAGCUAUAACUUAUAGAUAACUACAAGUUGACAAUAUACAAAGACUAGUCAAAACACAACCAUCCAAAACUUUUAAAUUUAACAUUUGUUGACACCAUUCGAAGGAAAUAUAUAAGUCAAAUAAGGGUUUCUAAAUAGAAAACAGAGAGACUUGUGACUUGUGUGUAACGUUAAGAAAACGUUUGGUUGCUAGAGUUAUAGUAGAUUUCCUGUUCUUCUGAAUUUAACAAGACCCAUUGUGCUUCUACUAUGUGAAAUCUUGGUUCAGUUAUGUGAAGAUGUUACGUGAGCAAAACAAACCAAGUUGCAACUCAAAAUGUAGUUAACUGUAUGCUGAUUUUACAAGAAGAGUUUCAAAUAAUACUUUUGCCAAGAAAUGAAGAAAUGCCAUUUUUUUGGGUUAUGAUAAGAAAAUGGAAACAAGUAAAAUUGCUUAUAUAUCGUGGUAUAUUUUUUCUUGUUAUAGUUUUGAUUUGCUUAAUUUUGGUUGCAAAUUGAAGAAUUUUAAAUGUAAUAGUAAUCUUUUUACAAAGGAAGAAACCACAAUUUAGAAUUAAGUUAGAUUUUGUCACGUGAGUGUCCAAUCAGGUUUUUAAAACUACUAUUUUAUCUCUCGGUGUAUGCAAUUCAAUGACUAUUUGAAGUUUUAUUUGGUAAAUUAGGUCUAUUUUUUUGCCGCCAUCUUUAUUUUUUUUUGCCGUCAUUUUUUAGUCAAUAAUUAAAAACAAAACAGAACAAUUAAUGACUGAAGCGUAUAUCUAUCUACUACUAAUCAGUCAUCAGUAAGUAGACACAAGACAAGAAAAUCGAAUUAGGCCAUCAUAAUCUCUGAAACUACCGACGACUGACGGCGAUGGUUGUAAUCUCCGAGAUUACCGACGAUUCUAACGGCGGCGAUCCAAACAAGAAACAAGAAGAAGCGAAUCAAAGGAAGAAACCCAGAACUGUAAAGAAUCGCUUCGCCGAGAUUCCAGACGGAAUCACCGAAAUCAUCGUCGCAUUCGUCCGGAGAUGUCAGUACCCGACGCUCUCAAUCGCAUCCCCUACCUUUAGAAAUCUCAUCUCCUCGCUCGCGCCUCGGCGUCGCCGAAUGCUUUCUUUACGCCUCCGUCGGAUUCGCCUGGCCCGAUUUCCCGAUCUGGUACAUUCUCUAUCGAGGAAGAGAUGCUUCUCUACGACUGGGCAGAGUCGAUUCGCUUCCUCUCAUGCCUAAUUGCUUAGUAGACUUCGUCGUCACAAUCGGACCGGAGAUGUAUGUAAUCGGCGGAUCAUUCAGCGACGGAGAUCCCUCGACGGAUGUGACUCUCAUCGAUUGCAGAUUCCACACGAGUCGCUCGCUCCAGAGUAUGCAAGUGGCUCGCUUCGCCGCAGCCGCCGGAGUUAUCGACGGAAAGAUUUAUGUGGUCGGAGGUUGCGCGAAGCGAUCUUCUACGACUUGGGUCGAAGCGUUUGAUCCAAAGAUUUAUGUUGUUAGCUUUACGUCUGUAAUGGCGAAUUUCGGUGGAAAGCUGGUGGUUUUGAGCGCUCAUGUGCCUUCUUCUAGUAGAAAGCGUGCCGGGAAGAAGGAGAUUUGGUGCGUGGAGAGAAGGGAAGGAGGUGAGAUUUGGGGGAACGUUGAAUCAGCCAAGGUUGUUCAUAAAGUCUCCAACUUGGAAUCUGUUGAGAUUUGUCGAUCUGUGACCUUUUGAUGAUACUUGGGACGGUUUCUUGCAGGUAUGUAUGUUUCUGUGAUUGAUUACUGGCUUUUGAAUGAUGGAUUAUUCUCAUGUUUAGACAUUUUCUCUAGUUAAUUCUCUCGAGGGUUUACUUAUAGACAUUCAUGAACUUGCAAUUGCAGGUGGAGGGUUAUUGUUACAUCUAUGUAUAUUUUUGAGCAGCUUGUUGGUCUUAUAGCAAAUUUUGAAGCAGAGUAGCUUAGAGGCUGUUAUCUGACGCCUUAAAGAGUAACUCUUCCUUCUCAACAUUUAUUUUUCACAAUGUGUAGUACCAGUUUAUAAAUACCUUAGCCUUGAGAAGGUACCUUAGCCUUGAUGUAGAUUUCUUAAUGAAUAGUAGCAGUUUAUAAAUACCUUAGCCUUGAUGUAGAUUUCUUAAGCUGUAUAAAAAGGUUAGGCAAUUCUUUUAGCUGCCUCGAUAAUACAAUAUUCUUAAAGAAACUAGUUGAAACUUGAAAGGCAUUUUUAGUUAGCUAUGUUUUGGGUUUUUGUGCAGUUGCACUGAGAUGGUCUCACUAUAUAGCAAGUUUGAAAUCCGUUUGCUUUAAAAAAAACAUGGUUCUAUGCAAGUGAUCACAAUUAAACAUGAGAGAACCCAAUGUGCUUCUACGACACAAGAUGUCAAUAACAUGGUCAUUGCUUUUGGAAUCAGGGAAAAGAUUAACCAACUAGUAUUUUAACCGGUUGUUGUGAUAUUAAAGGCCAUUACAAAGACCAAGAAGCUUUAGGCGAUUAUUCUACACAACCCCUUUUAUUUGAUAUAUCGAAAUCCUCUCUAGUUUUCUUGGAGACAAUCUCAAACCACGAUUAUUUCUGUGAGACUCUUCCACAUGGAUGUAGCUACCAUCAAUCUCAAUGCCUUCCAUCAUCAAAACAGCAUAUGCAUAUCUCAUCGAUUCCUCCUCCUUGAAAGUAACAAAACCAUGUCCUAUCAUUGUGCUGAAUGCUAAGAUAAAGAAAAAAAAAUACAUGGUCACUGUUCCAAGUUCUGGCAAUUGCUUUAAUAAAUAAUAUAGAGAUAUUGGUUCAGAGAUGUGAAGAUGGAACUAGGAGCAAAACAAACCGGUCUACUAUAACCAGUUGUUAUAUAAUCUUAUAUUCUUAUGGAUUCCGCUUUUGAACUUCAGUAUGCUUUUUCUCUAUCACCAUUUGUCAUUCCACGAGAAAACUCUGAACGGAAUCGCAUGAAAACGUAGAAAUCUGAUCAUGAAGAUUGGAAUCAAUAGUUCCCGUGGAACGUCGUGAGGUGAUGACGAAAACGAGAUAAUAUGGGAGAGUUUGAAAAGAUGACAUAAUAACUGAAUCCCACAUCGGUAAUUAUCAAAGAUUUACUUUAAUAUAUAAAACUGUAAAUCAGUUAGUUAGAUCGUCAAUUGGGGGGAGAUAGGAGCUUAUGAUUUAUAUUCGUGGAGAUGGUUCCAAAAAAAUUUAACAUUAAGGCGCCAUUUCUAUUGGAUGAAUAUGAGCCAACCUAUUCUUACCAAUUGACCUUUUUUAAUUAUUUUCGUAUAUAAAACUAAAUUGUUACUAAUUUUUUCUCCACACCAUUAUUACUAAGACAAUUCUACAUAACUUUUAUUUUAUCUUAUGAAAUACGCUUAUAAUUCAGCAGAUUUUUGUUUGCGUGGCCAUGUGAGGAUUGACUUUUGUAGCAUCAUAUCUUCAUAUGACAAGGUUUAAAGGUUUUACAACGCAAUUGAGGUUUGAUUUGUACAUGAAAGCAAAAACCUUAAAUAGUGUCAACAACAGAUGUCAUAAUCAUGAGGCUGAUUCGAGAAUUCAUCAAGGGCAGAGAAUGAAUUUGACAGCUCAAUCUGAUAAGGUUGUUUUGCAUUUGCCGUACGGCUUUUGUUAUGUGACAGAACCGUUGGAGAAGACAGUGUCUCAUCUGGAGGCUUAGCCUUAAUAUCUUCCACAUGGAUGGAGCAACCAUCGAUCUCAUCACCGUUCAUUAGCAUUAUGGCAUCUCUUAUAGAUUUCUCGUCCUCGAAAGUAAUAAAUUCAUAUCCCCUCGAUAUUCCAGUCUCAUGGUCGUUGAUGAUCUGUAAAGACAAAUAUAAACGAUAUAGAUUAAACAGUAAGAAAGAAUCCAACAAACACAAGUUACUAGUAAAACGCGAAUGACACGAUAUCAAGGCGUAACGAACUUUAGAAUCGAUAACGUUGCCAAACUUUGAAAAGGCUCUCUUAAGAUCAUUUUCAUCAGCCUCCAUGUCAAGACCGCGAACAAAGCACUUGAAUACACCAAAUGUUGAUGCCAUUUAAAUGAGAUAUAUGAAGAGAAGAGUGAAAAAUAACUUAGGGUUAUAUAAAGAACAAAGAAACUUGAGAGACGUUUGAAUUAAUGUAUUGAGAUUUGAGAGCUAGGUUUUAAUUUUUUUUUUUUGUCCAACAGUUAGGUUUAACUUUUUAAGUUACAUGAUUUUAACUUCUUUUUUGUCAUGCAUGUCAUAAAUGCUAUUCAGUCUUUCCAAAUUUUAGAAGUCAGUAUAUACAUUUUGGAACUAGCGAAAAUUGUCAAAGUCCAAAAGAAGACUUUUGUUAUUUAGAGUUUCAAAAAAAAAAAAUUAAUAUGCAACUAAUAAGUAAACAUUUUCUCGAUAUAUUUUCAGCAGUAGUUUUGAAUUUCUGUAAAUGAGUAAAAACUACAACACAUUCUUUUGGUUGCCUCAUUGAAAUGCAUCUUUAGUUAGAUAUACUUUGGGUUUUUGUGCAGUUGCACUAACAUGGUCUCACAAUUACAAGUUCUUUUAGUUUGAAUGUAUAUAUAUAAUUCCUCUGGAAGUAAUCCAUACUAUAACAAAAAUCAACCUGGUUCUACUAUAUAUAUAUAUAUAUAUAUAUGAGCAAUAUAACCAAAACAAACCAAGCAGUUUAUAAAACUGGGAGUAAUUUAAUUGACCGUAUAGUAUGUGUACUAUUGAUGAUGAUGAAUUAUAAUGUUGACACAAUAUUUGCUCAAGCCACAGGAGCUCAAUUUGACUUUCGUGAACGUUUUCUAUUAUUUUUACCUUUUUAGCGGUUCGUUAGUUUGAGAGUAAAUAUAAAGCAAACUGCCUAAGGAUUUGUUAUCUGACCGAGUCAGUCCAAACCUUUUUUUUUUUUAAAAAAAAAGCUAAAACUUAUUUUGUAUAUAUGCAUCUUUGAAUCAGGUAUGUUGGGCAACUGCAAGUUUUAUUUCUAGUAUAUGAUCAAAUCAAAUUUUGGUUCAGAGAUGUGAAUGAAGUUGUUCUUGCACCAAAACCAACUGGUCUACUUUAAUCGGUUGUUAUGCAUCUGGAAUGGCGAAUUUUAAAUUAAAUUUAACUAUAUUUAAAGAAUUUUAAAGUAAUUAAAAUUAUUACUUAAAUUUUUGUGAUAAAAUUUAAUUACAAAUUUUUUAAAUUUUUGGAUUUUCAAAUUAAAUAAAAUCUAAAUUUUCGUAAUUAUAUAUAACUAUUAAAAAUCUUGAAUAAUUUAAAAUUUUAUUUAAAUAUAUAUGACCAUAUUUAAGGAAAUUUCAAAAUAUAAAUUAAUAACUAAUUUUCGAAAUUAAAUAUUAAUAUAAAAUAAAUGUUUUAAAAUAAUUAUCACCUAUAUUUUAGGAGAAUAUAAAAACAUCUAAAUUAAUACUUAAUUUUUGGAAUUAAAUAUAAAUAUAAAAUAAAAUAAAUUUUAAAAAACUUUAAAAAUGUUUGGAAUCAAGCACUAAAAAUGCUACUGUUUUAAUAUAAUAGAUUUGUUUGUAAUCCCCACUCCCACUAAGACCAUGUUCAAUGGUAGCAACUCUAAAAAGGGUGCUUAAAUAUUAUUUAAUUAUUAAAUUUAAAAUCAUCUUCAUUUUAUAACAUAUGUCUGCUAGUAUCUGUUAAGCAUCGCUGCUUACAACUCUUAUUUAAGCAUCAAUGCUCAAAUUAUUAUAUUUUUAUGAUUUAAUUUUUUAAAAAAAUUAUCUAAGCACUCUUCCUAAGCAUCUGCAUUGAACAUGCUCUAAUGCGUCUCCUUUCCAAAUACAGCCAUCGCAAACGAGCCUAGGUUUGCAUGCGUGGCCAACAAGCCUCUUCCAUAGUUAUAACCCGAUCAUCAUUCAACAUGAUAGCUUCUCGUAGCCACUUCAACAGUGACGUCGCAAUCAAUUAAUGUAGGCCAAAAAGAUGAAAUAAAAACGGAGUCCCACAUCGAUAACUAUCAAACAUGUACGGUAUCAUAUGAAGGUGUAAAUAAUAUAGCUUAAUAGUCAAUUGGUGGGAGAUAGGAGUUCUUGAUUCAAAGUCGUGGAUCAACCUACUCUCACGAUCUUUUUCAUCAGUGUAACGUUAACACUCAAGACCCCAAACAAAGCACGUGAAUACAUACACCAAAUGCCACUUGAAAGAGAUAUCUGAAGAGAAGACUGAAGACAGGUUAGGGUUGUGUAGAGAACAGAGAGACUUGUGUAUAAUGUUGAGAGUGAGACACGUUUAAACUGAUUUAUAGACGAGAUGUUGUUUCUCGAUUUUUUUUUUUUUUCAUGCAUCUCAAUUCUCAUCAUUGCUAUUCAGUCUUCCCAUGCUUCAGAAAUCAGUGUAUCUUUUAAGAGUUUAAAAACAAAACAAAAUUAAUAUGCAACUUCAUAAGUAUAACGUUUUCUCAAUAAUAUGCAACUUGUUGAAAUGCAUCUUUACAUAGCUAUCUUUUGGGUUCUUUUUAAACAUGGUCUUAAGUUCUUUUUUUUGUAACAUGGUCUUAAGUUCUUUGUGUAUGUUAGUACUACUAACUUAGUAGAUAUAUUAUUCCACUACUAGUAAACACAAACAGACAAAUACAGAAAUACUUUUUACCAAAAACAAAUACAGAAAUACUUGGGAAAUCUUUGGUUUUAGAGAGAAAGCAUAACAAAUUAAACCGGUUUAGUUAACCCUAAUUAAAACCCUAACGUAAACCCUAAAAAAUAAAAGAUUGCAAAAGAAAACCCUAACGAACCGCUCGCUCCAGAACCCAAAACCAAAAACAGGUUUCACUCUUCUCUCUUCAACAACGUCUGCUAAAGUAAGACUCUCGAUGCUUAAUUUAUUCUUCUUCUUCAUCUUCUUCUUUUUCCGGUUGCGAUUCCUUCUACCCAUAUGUAUGUGUUUGCAUAUGCGGUGGAUCAAAUAACGACGGAAACGUAUUAGAUCGGAGAUUUUAGUUUCCGAUACAUUAAAAAAGUUCAAUUUUUUUUUUAAUUGAUUUUGGUGCCCCUUUCUAUCACAUUGAUCUCAAAUUUGGAUUGUUCUUUCCCUCAGAAAAAAAAACCUCCCCUAUUAGCGUUGAAGCAUAUAUAUAUAAUUAUCCAAAACAAAAAAAAAUAUCCACAAACCCUAGCCUUGGCACAAUCGGUCUAUUGCUGUUGAUGUUAUUAUUUGACUGUAGUUGGAAUGUGGGUUUAUUAGCAUCUGUAGUUGAGAUGUGAGUUCUUGAUUUGAAACUCAUUAUGAACUUUUGGUAAUUGCUUUUUGAGCCUUGGAACUUUUCUUGAAAUAGAAGGUUCUGCGAUUGUUCUCCUUUUAUCUUAAGCAUCCAUCAUCCAAUAACAUUUUCUAACUUAGAGUUUCUGUUUUGGUGGCUUGAUUGAUUGAUUGGUCUAGAGAGAUUGAAGUCUAGACUCAAUGAGCGGAAGUUCUUCACAUGAAACGAGUUCUUGGACGCUGAGGAAAGGUCCCCCACCCCUCCUCUUCCCCCAUAGUCCCGGUUAGUCUUCUUCUGUCCCUUUCUUUUUUAUAUCCUCGUUGGAGAAAUCAGUUGUGUUUCGAUAAUGGUUCUGGCCUUUUUUUACUUGAUGUCUCAAAUGUGGAAUCUUCAGUGAAGCUUUCAAAACAAGGCUAGUUUAUAAAUUUCAUAAGAGUCAUUAACCACUUUGAUAAAUGGAUCUAUAUCAUUUCCUAGGUUUGUUGCAAGUUUUUUUCCCUGAUAUGUUUGACAACAGAGAUGAGGAUGAUGAUGCUUUUCUAGUUGACAGAAAAGUGUUGAUUUUCAGACCCUAUAUAUAUAAAACCUCUUGUAUCAUUUUGGGGCAAAGUUUUGUGAAACCACUCAUGUAACGCAAUUUUAAGUCAAAACUCUUGUAUGCAGUGUUUGAUUAUGCAAAAUUUCACUUACUAGAUCUGUAUGUUUAUUAGCUGAAAUGUUCGAUUCCGUGGUUUGAUCAUAUUAGCAGUAGCAGUUAGUUUUUGUAUAUGUUUUUUUAUUUAUUUAAAGUUUGCCUCCUCCACACUCUUAAUUUGGUUAUACCACCACUAAGACGAUCGACAGUGUAAUCCAAAUUUGUUGUAUGGCUAUAGACAGGAAGCCAGAUGCAGUAAUGACUGGACCAGGAUUGAGGGAGAUGCUUUUUCCUAACUCCAAAUUGGAAAAGAAGAGAAAACGGCGGCUGAUCCCAGAAAUAACAAUGCUUUAUAACCUUGAUCAUUAUAAUCAUAAGGUUGAUAGGAAAAAAAUUAGGGAAGCAGAAUCCAAGCGUGCUGCAGUAAGUUAUACAAUACAACUCAUCGAUCAUUUCAUAGAUUUUCAUACAUUUAUAUAUAUAUAUAUAUAUAUAUAUAUAUAUAUAUAUAUAUAUUUUCAAUAGGAUUUAUCUCACUGAUUCGAGUGCUACGUACUCUCAGGAAGAAGUCAAGAAGUUUUGUGAGAGAGCUGAUGCAGUAAGUUAUACAACUCAUCGAUCAUUUCAUAGAUUCUCAUCAUACAUAGAUUUAUCUCACUGAUUCGAGUGCUACUUACUCUCAGAUCAUUAAGAAGGUUCGUGAGAGAGCUGAUGCAGUAAGUUAUACAACUCAUCGAGAACAUUUCAUAGAUUUUCAGACAUUUUUAUAUAUAGUUUUUCAAUAGGAUUUAUCUCACUGAUUCGUACUCUCAGGAUGCCAAGAAGGUUGCUGAGAGAGCUCCUGCAGUAAGUUAUACAACUCAUCGAUCAUUUCAUAAAUUUUCAUCAUACAUACAUACAUUUAUAUAUACAAUAGGAUUUUUAAUCUCACUGAUUCGAGUGCUACGUACUCUCAGGAUGCCAAGACGGAUGCCUUCAUCAAAGACCAUGCGGAGGAAGCUCAUCAAAAGUUGUCAGAGCUCAGGUAAACUAAUAAUAAUCCAUGAGCAAUCUAUCUCUCUCUUUCUCUCUCUACAUUUCCAUGUAGUGUGCUUAGACCAUCUUUAUCGCAGAGGUUUUUUAGAGAUAUUUAAUAUUAAAUAUAAUCAAAUCAAAAACUUAGUUUAAAAACGUUUCUUAUUUGAGAACAAUAAGAUACAUUUCUUCUUGUCACGUGUCUACUCGGAAAUGGUUAAAAAUUUUGGGGACAAAAUGAUAUUUUUGUGUUUCUUCUUUCUUUUUCCUGAGAAAUAUUUUUUCUGAUUCCUCCUGUUUUCUCCGUCGAAGGUGACGACUCAAGUGAUUGUUUGUUUGAUGUUAGGACAUAGCUAUAUUUCUGAGGUCACCAAAAGUUUUGUUGUCUCUGUUUCACUGAAAUACCGAUAAGCUAUACCAACAGUUCAUCUUCCAUAGCAAGCUACGACAAUGGUUGUCCUUGAGCUGAUAGAAAUUUUGGAAUUCCUGUGCGCUGUUAUUGUGGCCGUACUGCUAGUCCACAGCUGCAGCAACUUUAGGGAGGAAGUUUUACACUUGUCCUGCAAUUUUGGGAGAGGUAAGAUCGAAUUUAUGUAGAUAUUGCGUUAGUUAGCUGUGUUAUUCAAAUUUCUAAAUCAAGUUUUCAUUUUCAAAUAUGUAGGAAAGUCCAGACCACAUUUGAAAAUGGUGGGAUGCAGCCAUUGAAGAGCAGCUAACUAUUAUACAACUAAGAAUUGACCAGCAGAGUGAAAAGAUGGAAAGCUACAACAGGACAGAACUUUUUCAAUCCUAUGAGAAUCGCAUGGAGAAAAUGGAACCUCUGAUUGACAGAAAUAACGAGGACAUUAGAGAAAUCAAGGAAAUCCUAGUGGAGAUUCAAAGAGAAGUGGCUCGGAUGAAAGAGGCAAUAGCGACUCGAGGUUCUGAUUUGCUUUUAAUUAUGUUUUUGGUUGUUUUUCUGCUACUCAUAUCUUUUUAUGCAUUGGGAGGUAGAAUAAAUGUGUAUUCAAGUGUGUAAUCUUUAAGUAGAUGAGAUAGAAGAAAUUGUUUUUGGUUAUUUUUGCUUUCUUAUAUGUUAUGUUUCUGAAUGUGUUCGGACUAGAAUUCGUGAUAAACAUCAACAUCAACAAUUGAAAGCUAAUUUGGUUGAAAAUAUAUGACAAAAUUUUGGACAUAAUGAAGAUAAAACUGAGCAUUUAUGGCAAAAAUUAUGUUUUACUUGUCUUAAUGUUUUUAUAUUAAGUAUGUUUUAAUCAAAUAAUUAUCUUUCUUUAUAAUAAAACAUUAUUAUUAAUUUUUUUAAAAGAUUUCUAAGGGAUUCUACCAUUAGACCCUACAAACCUAAAGAUCUCUUAUCAAAGUUUCUUAACCCAUUUAAUAAUAAAAAAAUGCUUAAAAAACCCAUAUGAAUUUUAGCGAUAAUCAUACUCUUAUCUUUUUGGGUACGUUCAUACGUUUGGCAAGAUUGUUGACAAGUAGUAAUCUGGCUGAAAUCUGGUGACUUGAAGACGUUGUAUCGUCGUAAUUACAAAUGCUUUGGGUUGUUGUGUUGGAUUUAGUGAAUUAAGAUUAAACUCUUUUGAAGAAUAUAGGUCUCAGAACAUUAUCAUCAUAUGUUUUGGAGGCUUGAAGUCAUUUCAUACACUAUAUUGAAAUUUGCGUAAAAUCAAAAAUAAUUUAAUUACCAAUAUAGUUGUAAAAAGUGAGUUGAUUAAAUCAGUUAUAGUUUUCUGCUGUGUUUUUAAAACCGGACCAAACUGGCGGUUUGACUAGGUUAAACCGUGAACCGGAAGUUUAGCCAGGUUGUAUCUAUUAUAUAAAGACUCAGUUGAGUCUCACAAACUUGACACAUCAGCACUCCUUUGAAGGACACAUCAACUCAUUUAUUUGUUAUUUAAAAACAUUAGUGAAACUCUAAUUAAUUUAAGCUAAUUACUUUUAUGUUCAUUUUUCUGUGUACUGAUUUAUUUACCAUCAUGGACCUCAUGGCUUUUUGACUCCCAUUUUUUGAUGCUUCCUAUUCUUAAUGAUGCUUCAAACGUUGUCUUAAAUAUUGGUCACUCAUAUUUCAACGCAUAAAAAAUAAUCAGCAAAUAUAGAAGAGAAGACAUGGAAAGAAGUAAAUAUUACCUAAGAUUUUCUAAUAAAUCUCUAAUCUACAGCUUCCACGUUGUAACUUAUGCAAAUUUCUAUAUAGAAGCUUACUAAAGUGAAUGUUGUUCACAAAUCCACGGUUUAAGAUUUAUUUUUUGGUCAUGGGCAGAGACAUCUACAUUUAAUACCAUCGUUUGUGUUCAUUUAAAGGAAAAGAAGAAUUUUGAUUUUAAAAAGAAGAUUUUGUAUGAUGGUUUCGAGAAUUCUGUGAAGAGUAAAUAGCAAGACAAAGCUAUAAUAAUAAUUUCUAAAAUUAUAAUAAUUCGGCGACGAAGCUAUAAUAAUAGUUUCUAAAAACUUUGUUUUAAGUUAAGCUGGUGUAAGUUUUCUAUUCUAUUUAUUUUUUGUUUUAGAGAAAAUUUUAAGGGAGAAAAAUAAUACUCUGAAAGACCUAUUACAUCCAUUAGUAAAUUUUUUAAUAUCUAUGUUUUUACAAGAAAUGAUAAAAAUCUCGUCUCAAUGAAUUAUAAUUAAAGAAAUCUUUGUGGAGAAAAGAUAAAUAUAAUUUAUAUCAUUUUAUGUGCAUGAAAUGUAGCUAGUUUUAUCUCCAUCAGAUCUUGGAGUUGGAGUAUUGGUUCUCCCAAGUACUGCAAUAAAAAGCCACUGGAGCGGCAAGAACAAAAUCCGAUGGUGAAAAUGGAGAAAGACGUAUUUGGUAAACUUUUACGAUAGCUGGUCAUGCUUAUCUAAAGUUCCAAACUCUACCUGUGAUGCAAAAGAUAAUAUAUAGUAUGAAAUAUCACAGAUUUUCAUGCUAUAUUCAUUUCCUAACUUUUCUAAUUUUAGUGGAGAUUGUGACGGUUUUGCAAAUGAGAAUAUGAAAAUUUUAUGGAAUAAAGUUAUCCAUUUAUUUUGAGAAUAUACCUCUUAGGUUCCUAAUCAUAAUAUUUAGUAUUUGCUGGAUUCUCAUAUCUUUGUUUAUGAUGUUCAAGAUAAUUUUUCACGUUUAAUUGAAGACAACGUUUCUUAGUAGAGAGAAUUUCUGAUAAGAUUUCAUAAAACUAAAGAAAAAGUCGAGAAAAAAACUAAUUAAAACAAAAUCACUUUAACCAAACAAGUUAACAACUAAUCUCUCUAAACAUAUAUAUGGCCAGUCCAAAAAAACCAAAAAUCUAAAUUUUUUUUUAACAUCACCAAAAAUCUAAAUUGAAUUUCAGUUUUUUUUUUGUUUUUGAUCGACAGUUUAGAUACCUAGAACGGUUUGGUUACCCAAACCGAAGAUAUCGAGUUUAUGUAAAUAAUAAUUUGUAGGUAGACACAAGCGCUUCUUGCUAGAAUGUUUGCCUUCGAAUUCUUCACGCGUGAAAUGUGUGAUAUAGUGAAGAAAUUGUAAACUGAAAUUUAAGGAUAAAACUAAACUUCAGUUUUAAACAUUAUAAAAAUAUUAAAAAGAAAACCCACGCAUAUGCGUGGGUACUCAUCUAGUUAAUACUAAAACUACAGAAGGUUAGAUUGAUUAGAAAACCAGAUUAAACCACUAAAAAACGGAAAUUGACCAAACAGAUAAACCAUAAAAACCGAGUUCAAUCAAAAAAUGCUUAAAUCGUUUUUUCUAGUUUUAACGUUGAUUAUUGUUUAAUAAAAUUGUCCCAAAAGAUAUAAUUAUCGAACUAUAUUAACCCAUGAUCGGAGAGCUUUUCCGGUUCGGUCACCGGUCUGGUUUUAAAACACAAGUUCUUUGAUAUUUUCAGACUGGAAUAUCUAUAAAUGAUAUCUACAUACUUAUUUGUGUAGUGAUUUACUUAGGUGUUGGCUCCACAACGAGUUUCAAAAUUUUUUUGCUUACGUGUCAGCUCUAGAAUGAGAUUUGGCUGAAAAAUAACCUUUUUACCCUAUUUUUCAAUUACGUGUCAUUUUUUUAUUGAUUUUUAUGAUGUAUUAAAAUAACUUAAAAUAACCGUUUUAAAUUAUUAUGAUUUAGUGCUCUAUUCCGUUGUCAAUCAAACCGUUUCUAAAAUUUUAUAAAACUAAAAUUUAGUAAAAAAAAUAAAAAAUAAAUAAGAAAUAAAAUGUUUAAUGAAAUAACGGUAUUUGUGAUGUUUAUUGGUUUUUGACUUCAAAUGUUUUAUUAUAAAUAUGUACAAGACUUCUUUUUAAUCAUCUCACACCCUCUAAAUCGUUUAACUUAUUCUUUCUUUUUUGAAUAAGUUUGUUCAGUACUUCAAAUUAUUAUGUUUUGUUCUAUUAUUAUUGUGAAUAAAUAUAUAGUUUGUAUCUUCAUUCAAAAACUAUAUCAGCCCAAUAGACAAAAAAAACAAUAGUAUUUUUAAUCUGCAUCAUAUCUUCAAACAUUAAAAUGGAAGAAAAUCUUAUAAAUAAAUAUACUCAACAAUAGAAAAUAAAAUCCACAUGAAUCCAAACUACUAUUAAAUUUUCAAACAAUCAAAUAAAAAAUUAUAUUAGUUCGUGCAAAGAUGCGAAAAUUCCCUAGUUUUCAUUAAUCAUAUGUGUUUUUUAUAAAUGAUAUGUUAUAAUCAGUUUAAUUAAAUCUUUAUUGAAGCCCAUUCAUUUAGUUGGAUCAUUAUUACUGUCAUAACCCGUUUAAUUAAAUCAUAAUACAUAAGACACCCUUAAAAAUUAAUAUAUAUUAACACUUUUGGUUUAGGAAUAUAAUUUAUUGUAUUUCUUAGAUAUUCGGAAUCUCAAACUCCAGUCCGUCUUCCACUCGAUAAAAACAUUAUCGUACAUUUCCAUUGCUUUAUAUUUUUUUAAUUCAAAUAUAUGCUGCUAAGAAAAUAGGAAUGUAGAGAUUGUGCUAUAAAUGUUCAUUGUCUCACUUUAUUAUAUGCAUUUGUUUUCAGACGUCUAAUACUGGGAUUUUAGAAUUUCAUCAGCAUUCAAGUUUUGUUUGGAGUUACACACAUUAAAUUGUCGCAGUAUAUUUCUCCCCUUCUUUAUUUUAAGUUUGUGUAAUAAUAUACAGUGAACUGAAAUCUAUUACUUUUUCACACUAUAUUUGCUUUCUUUCAGCAGUUUUCUAACGUGUAUAUAUAUUAGAGCAUUUGCUUUAUUUCAUUUUUUUUAUUUUUUUCACUUCUUCUUCACUUGAUUUUUUCUCUGCCUUAGGUAUAUUCUUUUCUCCGUUUAUUUUCACUUUUCAUGAGAUCUUCAGGUAAAUAAAUAAAUAUAUAUAUAUAUACUUGUAUUUUAUUUUUUAACGCAAGGGUAUAAAAUCUAAAAAAAUGACGAUGAUGAUGAAAAACUAGAAAUACGAGAGAUAGAAAAAAUAAAUUUUGGAGACGACGAAGAUGAUGAAAAAAAGAAUGAUAAAAUGACGAAGAAAAAAAAAUUAAAGAUAAAGAAAAACAAAAAAAUGAAGAAACAAUCGGAAAAGACGAGAAAGAUGACAAAAAUAAAGAAGAAAAAAACUUAACUAAAAUAAAAAGAUGGAUUAGACCAAGAUUUUAAAGAAGAAGAAAGAGGAGAAAGGUAAGAAUUUGAAAAACAUAGACAAAACUGAAAGAAAAUGAAGAAGAAGAAUAAGCCGGUUACGAUGAAAAAGAAAAAAGAAAAAAAACAAUUUUUGGAUUCAUCUCUACGGGUUAAUCUUUUUAUUCAUCCCUUCUGAUUUUAACCAUAAAAAUUUGACAUCUAAUAUUAUAUUUAAACAUUUUUAAUGAAAAAACUAAACUCUAAACUGAAAACAGUGAACUCAAACAUAUUAAUAUUUAACUUUAUUUUAAAUUUAUUUUUGGUAAAUAAUUAUUUUUAUAUAAUUAUUUGUACUAUUCAGAAUUUUAAAUUUAGAAGUUUGAAAUUUUUUUUUAAAAUAUCAAUAAAAACUUUUAAAUAAAUAAAUAAAACAAAUUAAGAAUAUGAGCUUUUUGUUUUAUUUAAAGUUUAGGGUUGGGUUUUAUUUAUUAAUAAUUUUAUAUUUCUAAUUUGUUUUCUUAGUUUAUUUCAAUUUUAAAUUUCUAUUUAAAUAUAAUAUUAGAUGUCACAUUCUUACUGGUUAAAAUAAAAGUGGGUGAAUAAUGUGGUUCAUCGCUAGGGAUAAACCCAAAAAAAAAUUAAAGAAAAAUAUGAGGAAGAAGACAAAUAAAAUUAUAAAAUAAAAAAGAAGAAAACGAAGCAGAAGCAGUUCAGGUUGAAGACUGGAGAAAAAACGAAAGAAUAAUAACUUUGAGAAGACAAAAAACGAUAAAAAGGAUAAUCAAAAGAGAAAGACAAUAAAAAAAACCGAAAGAGAAAGAAGAAGAAUAAUUAUUGGAAAAAAACAAAGAUGAUAAAGUAUAAGUCAAAUUCAAAGACGAUUAAGUUAAAGUAGAAGAAACAUAAAUCACAUAUGUACGUUAAAGAAGUAGAAAGAAAAUGCGUGAAAUAACCGAUUAGAAUGACACCUACUUACGAGAAAAUGGAGAGAGAAUUCUAGCGAGAAAUAGAUAACAAAAAAUUAGUCUAAAAAAACUUAUUUUAUAAACUCUUGUGUAUGCACAAAGUGCGGGUUAUUACCUAGUUGGAUGUUAAAAUAUUGAAAAAUCAUAUGCAAAUUUAUAAAUGCAUAUAUUUUCCAGAGAAGUUUUCAGCAAUAAUUAAUAGUUGUGAAUUUCUGUAAGUGAGUAAAACAGAGAAAUUCUAAUGGUCGUCUUCAUAAAUAAAUAUAUAUAUAUAUAUAUAUAUUGAAUUUUAUUUUUUUGUUGUCCAUUCAUUUAAUAACCGAAAACCCAAAACAUGGGCAUUACGAGUGGUGAUUUCAAGUCCAACCCUUAACCGCCUACAAUUUAAAAAUCAUUAUUAACCCAUAUAGAAGAGAUAAUGGUAUUGGAAACAACAUGUGUUAACACGUGGUCAAUCAAGGAUUGAAGCAGAAACAUCGCUGGCGGUCCUUCAUUCCUUCCACGAUUCUGACGAUCUGAGAAUGUCGCCAGCAGUUUUGCAACACCUCCUGCGCCGUUUUUUAUCCACCACCACCGUAAAAACACCCCAGAAAAGCAAAUCCAAACAAAACACAUAGAUAGGUACCUCACAUCCACCGUUGAACAGAAUUAUUAAAUCCAGAUAAAACCGGAAGAUUUACAUCAAAAGAGAGAGAAACCCUCUUUCCCAUCUUUAUAUUUGAAUUCAAUUCACUUGGAAUGAGUAAAAUCGAAUUUUUUUGAAACAAGGCAUAAUUAAUUGAAAAAACUAACAAAAUUAAAAAUAAAGGUUCCACCGAGACUUGAACUCGGGUUACCAGAUUCAGAGUCUGGUGUCCUAACCGCUAGACCAUGGAACCAUUUGGUAUCAAUACACUGUAUUAUCAUAUUAUUCACCAUCUUCUCUCGUUCUCUCUCUCUUUCGUUCUUUCUUCCGGUCUCUGUAAUCUUCUCUCUCAAUUGAAUUCUCCGAACUGCUCUAUUUGUCUCCACCAUCACUCCUUCCUCCAUGAUUCUCCACUGCAACGUAAGCUAUACCUCAACGUUCUCCCUCGUCUCCUCCUCCUCUCUCCACCGUCAAGACAAUCCCGACGAAUCACAAGCUACAGUAAUCCGUCGCCGGCACAAUGCAAAAUCCCUUUCUCUGUUUAUUCGCCAUAAUCGAGACCUUAAGCUUAAUAAAAACCCUAACGAAUCCCCCGAAACCUUCGUUCCGCCUCGGCGUGAUGUAGACGGUGAAGACCGAUCUAAGCUACUCGAGCUCUCUCUCGUGACCAGAAGAACUCCACAAUUCCCUGGAUCAAUCUACGCUCAAUCUGCCUCUGAUGUUGAUGUCGCCUCAUCGCUUCCUUCGCUCCGUAAUUUCUUAGGCUCCGAUGGUGAUGACGACGGAGAGAGCGAGAGGGAGAUGAUAGCUAAGGCGUUGGAGAUCAGGCGGAAAGUGACCAAGGAGAUUAUCAAAGAGUCUUUGGUGAGGAAAGGUCGAUUUGGGAUCACGUACGCGACUAAUGUGACUGAUCGUGUGGGUGAUUUCGUUGAUCAUGUGAUGAUUGAAGCUGCGGCGUUGAAGCGGCUGCCGGAAUUUUCAGAGUCGAGGUUCAACCUUCGCGCCAGGAAGGUUAUAGAAGACUCCAAUUUCGUUCCUCUUGUAAGGUGAAGCUUCUAGUUUCAUAGCUCUGUUUCUUAGUAGCAGUCUUCAUUAGUGCCCAUAAGGUGUUCGAUGCAUGGUCUCUUAGAAAAAAACAUUUGACUUUCUCUACAAUUUUGAGCAUAUCAAAAAUAUAACUUCAGAGUAAACCCGAAGAAAUGAAAUUCUAUGGACCCUUAUACCACAAUUGUUCAUCAUAAGGGCACCGAAGUGGAUCAAGUUAAUGGGUUCUUGAAUUGUAGUCAGUGUUACAAUAUCGUUGGCUUGAUCAAGUUCAUGGGUUCUCUACAAUUUUGAGCAUAUCGAAGAUUGGACUUAAGAUGUACCCUUUACGCCAGAAUUGUUUAUUCUUUGUGCCGAGAAGUGAAUUCAGUGUUAAGUAUACGUUGACUUAUUUUGGGAGUUUGUAAAAGUAGUAGUUUUUCAUUAUGAUGAACCGUGCAGGUGGUUGAAGCACCAUGAGUUUUCGUAUAAUAGAAUUGGGAAGAUCAUAUGCAUGUCGAAAGGAAAUCUUGACUCCAUCAGAAUCAUGAUCGAGUGGCUUAAAACCAUUCAUGUGAAGGGUGAAUUCAUUGGAGUUGCGUUCUUGAGAUCCGGGGACAACAUCUUGCAACGUAGCCGUGAAGAACUAGACGAGAUUGUUGAGUAUCUAGAGAGCAAUGGUGUGAGGAGGGAUUGGAUGGGAUAUGUGGUUGGCCGAUGUCCCGAGUUGCUAUCCUUCAGCAUGGAAGAAGUCAAAAGCCGUGUUGAUUUCUUCUUGAAAAUGGGUAUGAAUCAACAUGACUUUGGCACUAUGGUCUUCGAUUAUCCAAAGAUUCUCGGGUUCUUUUCGUUCCAAGAGAUGGAAAAAAUGGUACUGAAAGCUAUAUGUAUAUGUUCAUCCACCAUUUGUUAGAAACUGUCUUUUGAGUUCAUAAAUGUCUUGCUUGUCUUGAACCAGAUCAGUUACCUGAAAGAGUUUGGACUUAGCACAGAAGAUGUUGGGAGACUAUUAGCCUUCAAGCCACACCUCAUGGGAUGCAGUAUCGAAGAAAGAUGGAAGCCUCUGGUCAAAUAUUUCUACUACCUUGGAAUCUCCAAAGAAGGAAUGAAAAGAAUACUUUUCGUGAAACCGAUUCUUUACUGUACUGAUUUGGAGAAGACAAUCGCACCAAAGGUAUUUGAACUUCGCUAUAAAUAUGAACUCCCGUAUAAAACAUCCAGCAGAUUCCAUUAACUCAGAUUCUCUUGUGUUCUUGAAGGUAAGAUUUUUCCAGGACAUGGGUAUCCCUAAUGAGGCCAUUGGAAACAUGAUAGUAAAGUUUCCUUCUUUACUAACAAACAGUCUCUACAAGAAAAUCCGACCUGUGGUUAGUGCUACUUCUUUUAUGAACCAAACAUGAUCCAUAAAAUCUUUUUUUAGUGAGUCAAUAGGCUCAUAGCAUAUGAUGAUUCCAAACUCAUACCGUUUAAGUUUAUCGUGCAGGUGAUUUUUCUGUUAAGCAGAGCCGGAGUAAGCCAGAAGAAUAUCGGUAAAGUUAUUGCAUUGGAUCCUGCUCUCCUUGGAUGCAGCAUAGGGACGAAGCUAGAACCAAACAUGAGAUACUAUGUCUCAUUGGGAAUCAAAAUUCAUCAACUAGGCGAAAUGAUUGCUGAUUUCCCGAUGCUGCUCCGAUAUAAUGUUGAUAUUCUACGUCCAAAAUACCGUUACUUGCGAAGAACAAUGAUCCGUCCGCUUCAAGAUCUCAUUGAGUUUCCCAGGUAAAAUAAAGAAACUUUCAUGAAACGAUACAGCACCUUCUAAAUGUAGGCUUUAAAGUAAUCAUGUAAUACUUUGACAGGUUCUUUAGCUACUCACUAGAGCGUCGGAUAAUUCCAAGGCACGCCAUUAUGGUUGAGAACAGAGUUAACUUCAAGCUCAGAUACAUGUUGGCUUGUACUGAUGAAGAAUUUGAGAGGAGAGUGAGAGAGAAAGUGGAGGGAAGAGAGAGAUUCGAAGCUGGUCUUGACUCUGAGGAUUCUCAGCCGUUGGAUGAGACCAUUUCCGAUGUGGAGAUUGGUUUCUCUGACUCUUCGGGAGAAGAGGUUGAAGAAGCAUAAUUAAUAGUUCGUAACAUAAAAGCUGUACAUAGCCACCAUGUAAAUUUUAAACAUAGUUAUAAACGGAAAAAAUGUGUGAAUUGAUCUUAAUUUAUAAAUGGUAAACGAGAAUAUUCAUUCAUUUUUAAGUUAUCCUGUGAUGAAACGAUGCGUAUCAUACCUGUGGACUUAAGCUUGGAUCUGGGCUGGUAAUGGUUAUGGAUCAAGGUCCAAUCCGGAUAAAAGCUUCAAGAGAGUCCAUGAUCUAAAACUCUAAAAGUCUCGUCGUUUUAGGAGGUCAAAGAUGCAGAGGUUGUUGGUGAUAAGGUUGUUACGCUAACGGCCAAGUGCAGUGGGCUCGAGGUUAAUGAGCUGGACCUGAAUCAAAAGGAAUAACGGCGUGAGAAGAGAAGAGAGAGGUUGUGUGUGAAACAAGCAGAAAAGAGAGAGAAUAGAGAGAGAGAGAAUAGAGAGAAAGAAGAAGCUUAUCUUCGCCAUAGCUCGUCUUCUUCAUUCUCGGCUUUCUUUGUAACUCUCGUAGUUCUUCUUCUGGUAUCUUGUAUUCGGAUUAAACACAUAGUGAAACCUUGUGAGCAGGAGGUUUGCUCACCAAGACGUACCUCGGCAUUUUGUCUUGGGAACUUGUAAAUCUCGUGUCGUCUCUGUUUUAUUCUCUUAAUCCUGCAACAAACGAAACAGAGCAUAAGCGAUAAUACUUGGAACCUUAGAUCAGCAAUUAUAUCGAGCACAAAGAAGGAGAAAAUCGCAACAAGUGGUAUCAGAGCCAAUCGGUUGGAGCGAUCAAAGGUGAUUUUCUCUUAUAGGGAUUUCUUGACUGCUUCUCCGGUUUCAUCAUAGAGAAAGGAUUCAGCAGGUACAUGGUCUUAGUAUCUGGUUUCUGAAUCUAGUAUUGUUCUCUGUGAGGUAUUCUUUCUGGAUUCUUUCUGGUUUACUUAUCUGCUGUUCGCGAAAGGUUUUCUUUGAGGAUAUCAUUAGCUCUGGGCUUUUUUCCGCGAAGGUUUGGUUGUGGAUAAACUGUGUGGCUAGGUUUUCUGUUCUGCGAAGGAUUUCUGGUAUUGAUUUACUCUCCAGGGUGAAAGGUUAUAUCAGAUUUGAUAAGGCAGUAUGGUUGAGCCGACUCAGGGAAAGUGGGAAGUAGAAAAGUUUGACGGUGACGGAGAUUACACGAUUUGAAAGUAUAGAAUUCUUGCUCAACUAGAGAUCCUUGGUCUUGAUUCAGUAUUGAAGGUAAAUGAGGAUUCAUCUUCAUCGGUAUUACCUGAUCCGAAGGACAAAGAUGAUGAAGUCAGGUCGGAUACUAAAUGGUUAGACAAGGAUAGAAGAGUCAGAAAUCUACUAUGCAUGAGCUUAACAGAUUUAGUGCUUAGGAAGGUGGGUUUGAAACAUAAGACGGCCCAGUCUAUGUGGGAUUCUCUUGAAUCACAGUACCAAGAUAAAUCCCUUCCUAACCGGUUCUAUCUCAAGCAAAGAUUCUACAGCUUUAAAAUGGAAGAAGGUAAAAAUUUGGACAAGAAUUUGGAUAUCUUUCAUAAACUGGUAUCGGAUCUUGCAAGUCUGGAUGUUGAGUUAAGUGAUGAAGAUCAGGCUGUAAUACUUCUGAAUGGCCUACCUUCACAGUAUUCUCAACUGGUGCAUACUCUUAAGUACAGAGGUGGGCAACAGACUAUAACUCUCAAGGAGGUGACCACAGCAGCAUACUCUCUUGAAACUGAACUGAAACAAAAGGGACUUCAUCUGUCAAAACAAAGCAAUGAAGGCUUGUAUGUUCAGUCUAAAGCAUCUACGAGUAAGAAGAACAACACAAAGGGCAAACAAAAGGAAGAUAAAGAAAAGGUAAAGGCCAAAAGCAAGAAAACAUGUUGGGUUUGCGGUGCUGAAGGUCAUUUCAAGAAGGAUUGUCCAAAGAGAGGUCAGACAAGCAAUGCUCAAGCAAAUGUUGGGCAGGAUAAUAAUGAGCCUCUAGUGUUGACAGCUUCUGAGACACACUCGAGAGAUGGUUGGGUGCUGGACUCCGGAUGCUCGUAUCAUUUAACAUACAGAAAGGAUCUAAUGUUUGAUCUAGUAGAAAUCGAUGGUGGAAAGAUCUUGAUGGGAAAUGAUACUUACUGUGUUGUCACAGCUAUAGGAAGUGUAAGGAUAAUUAAAAAUGACGAAACUUCGGUUGUUUUAACUAAGGUGAGAUAUUCUGCAACAGCUAAGAGGAAUUUAAUCUCCUUAGGACAGUUGGAGUCUCAAGGAAGCUGGUUUCAAUCGAAAAAUUUCAGACUACAAGUGUUUCUUAAGGACAAAGAAGUUCUAGCUGGGAAUUAUCAAGAUACUCUCUAUAUCUUGGAUGGAAAACCAGUAAAGGCUCAAGUUAAUGCUGUAGCAAAGUCAGAUGAGAAGGCAUUACUAUGGCACAGUCGUAUGGGUCAUAUGAGUGAAAGAGGUUUACAAGUUUUAGUCAAGAAAGAGCUGUUAAAAGCAGAAGAUAUUGGUGAACUAAAACAAUGCAAAUAUUGUAUUCUGGGUAAAUCUCACAAGCUGUCAUACCAAAAGGGAAAGCACAUUUCGAAAGAGAAGUUGCAAUAUGUCCACUCUGACUUAUGGGGAUCUCCCAAUGUCACCCCAAGUUUGUCUAAGUGUCAAUACUACAUUUCAUUUGUGGAUGAUUUCUCAAGAAAAGUUUGGCUAUAUUUUCUCAGAACCAAAGAUGAAGCAUUCGGAAAAUUUGUGGAAUGGAAGGUGUUUGUAGAGAAUCAGAGUGGAAAGAAACUGAAAGCACUAAGGACCAAUAAUGGACUUGAAUAUUGCAACAAGGCAUUUGAUUAUCAUUGUAAGUCUCAUGGAAUCCUUAGGCACAAGACUUGCCCCUACACUCCACAACAGAAUGGGGUGGCUGAGAGAUUGAAUAGAACCAUACUGGAGAAAGUAAGAAGUCUACUAAGUGAAACAGGGUUGGCUGAGAAAUUUUGGGCUGAGGCAGCAUCAACUGUAGCUUACAUGAUCAACAGGUCACCAUCUACUCCGCUCGGGCUAGAGAUUCCAGAACAGUUAUGGACUGGUGUAAAACUAGAUUACUCUCAUAUGAAAAUAUUCGGGUGUCUGGUUUAUUAUCAUGUUGAUCAGGGCAAGCUAAAGCCAAGAGCAAAAAAAGGAACUUUAUAUGGGAUAUCCACAGGGAGUAAAAGGUUACAGGAUUUGGAGUUAUGAUGAAAAGAAAUGUGUCAUUAGUCGUGAUGUGGUUUUCUGGGAAGACACACUUUUCAAAGAUGUAAAGAAGAUGGCUAUCAAUGAUCAAGAUAGCAAAGGGAAGGGAAAAGAAAGGGUUUCUUUUGAGGUUGAUCGAAAAAACAGUGACACUCAGGUUCAAGGAGAAACUUCGGGUGAAGGUGGAGCCACUUCGGACUCCGAAAUAAAUGAAGACUCCGAAGAAGAAUCUGAGUCUGAGGAUUCCUCUUCUUCUCUGGAUAAUUAUCUUUUGGCAAGAGAUAGAGAGAGAAGAGUGAAUAUAAAACCACCAAGUAGAUAUGACGAUGGAGACGUGGCUGCUUAUGCACUAAGUGUGGCAGAAAUGAUUGAGUUCACAGAACCCAAAACUUUUCAAGAAGCUAUGAAGAGCAAAGAAAAGGAUAAAUGGCUGGGAGCUACUGAUGAGGAAAUGGAUUCUCUGUACAAGAAUCAAAUGUGGAAACUCAUUGAUAGACCAGAAGGACAUAGAACGAUCGGAUGUAAGUGGGUUUUCAAGCUUAAGCCUAGAAUACCUGGUUUGGAAGAACCUAGGUACAAGGCUAGGCUGGUUGCUAAGGGAUUCUCUCAGAUUGAAGGCAUUGAUUAUCAUGAAGUUUUCUCACCAGUGGUUAAACAUACUACAAUCAGGUUGAUUCUGUCAAUGGUUGUUAACUUUGAUUUAGAACUUGAACAGUUGGAUGUGAAAACGGCUUUUUUGCAUGGUAAUUUGGAUGAAAGGAUUCUGAUGGAACAGCCUGAGGGAUAUUCAAAGGGUAACAAAGUUUGUCUGUUGCAGAGGUCAUUAUAUGGGCUUAAGCAAUCACCUCGUCAAUGGAAUCUACGGUUUAAUCAGUUUAUGAAGGCACAAAAGUUUUCUAGAAGUAAGUUAGAUGCUUUCGUGUACUUCAAAGGUUAUGGAGGUGGGAAUUUUGUAUAUCUGUUGCUCUAUGUUGAUGAUAUGUUAGUGGCGGCUAAAGAUUUGAAAGAGGUUCAGAAGGUUAAAGACUUGUUAAGUCGGGAGUUUGAAAUGAAGGACCUAGGACCUGCUUGGAGGAUCCUAGGGUAUGGACAUCAUAAGAGACAGAUCUAAAGGAGUGUUACAUCUAUCUCAAGAGUCUUAUAUUGAGAAAGUUUUAAAGAGUUUUAACGCAGUUGAUUUGAAGGCAGUUCAAACUCCUAUUGGCUGUCAUUUCAAGUUAUCUAGCACUAAGGAAGAUGAUAAGGCGGAGACAGAGAUGCAGAUGAAGAACAUACCUUACUCAAGUGCUGUUGGGAGUCUUAUGUACGCCAUGGUUGGAUCCCGUCCUGAUAUAGCUCACGCAAUUGGGCUGGUCAGCCGAUUCAUGAGUGCACCUAACAAAGAACACUGGAAUGCGGUUAAAUGGGUUCUUAGGUAUCUAAAGUCAAGCUCAAGUCAUAAGCUAACAUUUACAAAGGCACAGAACUUCAGUAUUACUGGAUAUUGCGACAGUGAUUACGCUACUGACCUGGAUCGAAGAAGAUCUAUCACUGGCUACGUUUUUCAGGUUGGAGGCAAUACAGUAAGCUGGCGUUCAGGGCUGCAACAAAUAGUAGCUCUAUCAACUACAGAAGCAGAGUAUAUGGCCUUAGCCGAGGCAACUAAAGAGGCUUUGUGGUUAAAACGGAUUACCUGUGAACUUGGUUUUCCUCAGAAGACAGUUGAAAUCUUCUGUGAUUCACAGAGUGCGAUCUGCCUGGCUAAAAACGCAGUCUUCCAUGAAAGGAAGAAACAUAUUCAGACGCGUUAUUAUUUCAUCAGGGACGUGAUUGAAGACGGAGAUCUGGUGGUGUCGAAGAUCGGUACAAAGAAAAAUCCAGCUGACAUCUUGACUAAGCCGGUUCCGGUAACGAAGUUUGAAGAUGGGAGAAGUCGUCUGAGAGUACUCAGCGACUAAGGCUAGCUCGGAAUAGAGCUAGGGUUCCGACAGUGUUUGUGUCGGAACAGAAGGAAAUGGAUCGGUCAAGAUUCAUUUUUUGGUAGGUAUGGAACGUAUCGAGGUGGAGAAUGUGAUGAAACGAUGCGUAUCAUACCUGUGGACUUAAGCUUGGAUCUGGGCUGGUAAUGGUUAUGGAUCAAGGCCCAAUCCGGAUAAAAGCUUCAAGAGAGUCCAUGAUCUAAACUCUAAAAGUCUCGUCGUUUAAGGAGGUCAAAGAUGCAGAGGUUGUUGGUGAGAAGGUUGUUACGCUAACAGCCAAGUGCAGUGGGCUCGAGGUUAAUGAGCUGGACCUGAAUCAAAAGGAAUAACGGCGUGAGAAGAGAAGAGAGAGGUUGUGUGUGAAACAAGCGAAAGAGAGAGAUCUAGAGAGAGAGAGAAUAGAGAGAAAGAAGAAGCUUAUCUUCGCCAUAGCUCGUCUUCUUCAUUCUCAGCAUUCUUUGUAACUCUCGUAGUUCUUCUUCUGGUAUCUUGUAUUCGGAUUAAACACAUAGUGAAACCUUGUGAGCAGCACUACAAGAAAACAAUCGUUUUCCAACGGUCCAUUACGACGGUUUUUAAAUCGUCGCAAAAUUACAACGAUUUUACGACGAUCUAACGUCUAAUUUAAAAACCGUCGUAAAACCGUCGUAUAAAAAAAUCGUCGUAAACUCGACGUACAAUUUACGACGAAUUACGACGAUUAUACAUCGAUAACGAGAGAUUUGCUAGUAAAUGUAAAACCGUCGUAAAUUCGUCGCAAAAUUACGACGAAUAUACGACGACUACAUUUCGAUGUACAUAUUACGACGAUUUUACGUCGAAAAAAGAGUUAGGUGAAAAACAUUUAAAACAUGUUUACCUAACAAUUGUAGAUGAAAAAUUUUAUCGCAAAAUCGUCGUAAACUCGUCGUUAUAUUAUUGUUGAAUGUAAAACCAUCGUAAAAAGUUGUCGUAAAAGCGUUGUAAAGCCCGAAAUUUUCCUAUAAAUAGAUCUUCAUUCCUUCAUUCAAUCACAACACAUCAUCAUUCAAACAUAAGAGCAUCUUCAUCUUGGAGACCCAUUGUAGGUCUCUUAAAUUUUAGUAUAGUGUUGUAAAUCCUUAUAUAUUGGGUUGUCCAUUGCCGGAAACCCGAAUUAAGAGUUAUAAUACUUUGAAAAAAAAAAGUAAUAAUAUUAUAAGGUUAAUUUACUCUAUUCACGUGGCUAGACGUGACACAAGAGACCAUCUCCUUUAUUGUCUAAUCAAUAAAAAGAGAUAGUAUUGUGAGUUUAUUUUCAAGAUGUCUAUAUACGAGCUAAGAAGUUGGAUGUAUAUGCGUAAAGAUUCAGAUGGGGCGUUGACAGAAGAGUUCAAAAACGGGUUAGAAAUAUUUAUGUACCAGGCUACAAAUAUGGAGAGAACGAAAGAUAGUGGGAAGAUGUUUUGUCCUUGUUUGAAAUGCAAGAAUACGAGGUAUACACUAACCAAAACCGUGUGGACGCAUUUAUUAAAUAGAGGGUUUAUGUCGCAAUAUUUUGUUUGGUAUCUACAUGGAGAAGGAUAUGGCAGUAAUACUGGGAAUGCUGGUAGUAGUAGUAAUUAUCAAAGUCAUGUUGAUAUUGAUGAAUCGAAUUAUGGUCAUCAGCCUAAUCAGUAUCAAUAUGACCAAAGUGUAAAUCAUGAUAGGAUGCACGAAAUGGUGACUGAUGCAUUUCAUGAAACGCAUACGGGUAAUGCUGUUGAGGAACCUAAUGUAGAUGCCAAACGAUUUUAUGAUUUUUUAGACAAUGCUAAUCAGCCAAUCUACGAAGGAUGUAGAGAAGGCUUGUCUAAAUUAUCGUUGGCAGCUAGGAUGAUGUCAAUUAAAACAGAUCAUAACCUGGCUGAGGUUUGCAUGGAUGAUUGGGCUGAUCUUUUGAAGGAGUAUCUACCGGAGGAUAACUUGGCAGUGGGAACAUACUAUGAAAUUCAGAAGUUGAUUUUUAGUCUUGGUCUACCUUCUGAGAUGAUAGAUGUAUGUGUUGACAAUUGUAUGAUUUUUUGGAAAGAUGAUGAUCAGCUGGAGGAAUGUCGAUUUUGCCAAAAACCAAGAUACAGGCCGCAAACUGGUGGGCGUAAAAGGAUAUUGUACCAACGUAUGUGGUAUCUCUCUAUAACUGAUAGGUUAAAACGGCUUUAUCAAUCUGAAAGGACAUCUGCAUCAAUGAGAUGGCAUGCGGAACAUACACAAGUAGAUGGAGAAGUUGUUCAUCCAUCAGAUGCAAAGGCAUGGAAACACUUCAAUAUGGUAUACCCAGAUUUUGCUAAGUUCAAACGGAAUGUCUAUCUUGGUCUGUGCACUGAUGGUUUUAGUCCAUUUGGUAUGUCUGGUAGACAAUAUUCAUUAUGGCCAGUAAUCCUAACUCCUUAUAACCUUCCUCCAGAGUUGAAUCAGUUAUGGUAUACUGGCGUUCGUACAUAUGACUGUUCUACGAGGAAAAAUUUUACUAUGCGAGCUGUGCUAAUGUGGACAAUAAGCGAUUUCCCCGCUUAUGGUAUGCUAUCAGGAUGGACUACACAUGGGAGGCUAUCUUGUCAUUAUUGUCUUCAUCGAACUGAUGCGUUUCAGCUAAAACAUGGUAGAAAAACUUGUUGGUUUGAUUGUCACCGGAGGUUUUUACCGGAUAACCAUCCAUAUCGGAGGAACAAAAGGUUAUUUAUGAAGAACAAAAGUGUACAUGUCCCUACACCCGUUAAUUUAACAGGAGUUGAUAUACAGGCGCAAAUCGAUCAUUGGAGGGCAGAAGAAACAGUAACUCGUGGGGGAAACUGGCACACUCCUACAAAUAUGCCUGAAGGUUAUGGAGUUCAUCAUAAUUGGCACAAGAAAAGUAUCUUUUGGCAACUACCUUAUUGGAAAGAUCAUCUGCUCAGACACAAUCUUGAUGUCAUGCACAUUGAAAAAAACUUUUUUGAUAACAUCAUGCAUACAGUUAUGAACGUAGCGGGAAGAACAAAAGACAAUGGUAAGUCAAUAUUGGACUUGCCUGAUUUAUGCAACAUAAGUGAGUUGCAUCUACUGAGAAACGGGAAAGCACCAGAUCCUGUAUUUCGGUUGAGUGCAGAUCAAAAGUCACCAUUGUUCAGAUGGGUUUCUUCUGACGUUAAAUUUCCUGAUAGGUAUGUCUCUAAUCUUUCCAAAUCUGUUGAAAAGGGGGUAAAGUUUGCUGGGAUGAAAAGCUAUGACUGCCAUGUGUUUAUGCAACGAUUAUUUCCAUUUGCAUUUGCUGAACUCUUGCCCAAAAACGUCCAUGAAGCUAUUGGAGGCAUUGGUGCUUUUUUUCGGGAUCUUAGUACACGAACAUUAUCAGUUGAUGUAAUAUCACAACUGGCAUUGGAUAUUCCAAUCUUGUUGUGCAAUUUGGAAAAGAUCUUCCCACCAUCAUUUUUUGAUGUUAUGGAACAUCUUCCUGUUCAUCUCCCACACGAUAGACCCUCGGAACAGGCAAGUUGAAGAUCUUCCCGAUGAUACAGAACAAGAAGGUGAUGAUGAGUUUGCUGAAACCGAUGAUGACGAUUUGGCGGAAGAAGACGACGGUGAUGGUGAUGAAGUAAUAGAGGAAGAUGAAUCUGAUUGAGUUUCAUGCAUUGUAUAUAGUGAAUGUUUGUUAUUAUGUAAUUUGUAACUUUGUUUGUUUGAAUUUUUUAAAAACCCUAAAAUUCGAUUUUACAACGGUUUUACAACGGUUUUUCUAAACCCUAAACCCUAAGUCUAGGUUUUAAGCCCUGAAUGAAUAGGGUUUCAACAUUACGACGUCUUUACGACGAACCAUCGUAAUAUCGUCGUAAAGUUACGACGAUUUUACGACGAGUACACUAUUUCGUCGUAAAAUCGUCGUAAUGUUGAAAUCCAAGAAUUUGAAUCUUUUAUAUCUUAUUGGUUGUAAGGUAUUUCACAAAUGUUUUUGAUUGGUUAUCUUAUUUUAUAUGAAAUGCUAUCAAUCUGAUCAAAAUCAAAAAUUUGAAAAAAAACAUACAUAUUUACAACUUCAUGCAUGUUUUCGUAAAUGUUAAGUGAAAAGUUAUAUAUUAUAUUACGGAAUUUCAAUUUUUACUAUCUCAUGUCAUAAAUCCAUCAUACAUGCAAAGUUGUAAACCUUUUGUUAUAUGUUAGGAUACAAUAACUUUUGCAUUGUUCUUUAUGCAAUAUCCCAUUUAUAAGAUUUAGGGUUUACUCACUUUUUUAAAAAACAUCGUAAAACCGUCGUAAUAUAAUCGUAAAGUUACGACGGUUUUACGAUGUUUUUUAAAAAAGUGAGUAAACCCUAAAUCUUAUGCACCGGAUAGGCUCUUGAUCCGAGGUACGAGGUUAUGAAUGUUUAGACGUUACGACGAUUUUACGACGGUUUUGGGUUUAAUCGUCGUAAAACCAUCGUAACGGUCAAAUGCUCCCAUCACGACACGUGUCAUGUCAUGCAGUGGACCGACUGUUAUACAACCGAAUCGUCGUAAAACCGUCGUAAUGUUACGACGAGUUUACGACGAUCACAAAAUCUAUAUAAGGGACGCGAGAUUUCCUCCUUCGUCGCUCAUUCCUCUCUUCCCUCUCUCUCUCUAGAUCUCUCUCUCUAGAAAUCUCUCUAUCUCUCUAGAAAUCUACCUCUCCCUUCUCUCCCUACUCUCCAGCCAAUUAAUUUGUAAGUAUUUUUGUUAAAUUAAUUUCAUUACAUAUUAUUUUAGAUUUAGGUUCAGAAUUUAGAUUUAGGUUCGGAAUUUAGAUUUAGGUUUCAGAAUUUAGUUAGGCCCGGAUUUUGGUAAAUUUAAAUAAAUAUUUGAAAAAUUAGUAACUAAUUUUUUAAAAUUUUGUAGGUUCUGUCGAUAUGUCUCCUCGGGCUAACAGAUUUCACUACCGACAGCUCGUCGAUUCUGACGGUACGGCCCCGUCUACCUCGGCGACCGGAUCAACCAUCCCAGAGUCCUCGGGAACACAACGGACGGUUUCCCAACCGGUCGUUGUUCCGCAGCCGGCACCGCCUCCACCACCACCAGCCGAACCAACGGCUCCCGCACAGGCUGAUCCUGAGGCUGAUCUGAUCCCGCCUGUACCGUAUGCCCAGUUUACGGUACAGGAUCUUCUGGCGCAACCCGGUCGUGAGACCAUGAACAAACUCGACCCGGAUCGAGCCUCGGGCACCUUUUGGUACGUAAUUUUUUUCCUACAAUUUUUUUAAAUUAAUUAAUAUUUAUUUUUAUAUAUUUGAUAUUAAUUUACUUUUUCUCUUUCCAUUUGACUAGGUUUACGACCGACUGCAUUGUCGGUCGUAACGUUGCGGAUAUCAUCAAAGGGUUUUUCGUACAACCCCAUACCAGCUAGAAGAAGCUGGAUCAGGCCACACUUGACACUUGGUUCAAAUGUUUUGCGGUAAGUAAUUUACCAUUUCGUUUAAUUGUAAUUUUAAAUUUUAACUUUUUACAAUAAUUACUAACUUUUUUUUUUCCUAGCAAAACUAGCAUUGGGAAACAUCCGCACACGGACGUGUGGAGACGGCCUUCAAGGAGAAGGUCAAAUUCCGCCUCAACAACACCGUUUCCGACUGGAAACGAAAAUGGGAGGUUGACGGCGACAAGGCCAAGCCGGCGUCUAUGGCCAAUACUGUCUGGCGGGGCCUUGUCCAGUACUGGUUGGAUCCGCACAACCAGACUACGGCCGCCAAGUGUUCCGGAUCUAGGUAAGUAGUUAAUUUCAAUAAUAUUAACAUUAUUUUUUUCUUAUAAUAAAUUCUAAUGAAAAUAUUUUUCAGGAACGCUACUGACGAUGCGGGAAAUCGGAAGAACGUUCCGCACACUUCCGGCCAGAUUCCUUUUGCCGGAAGACGGCUUAUGAUGGUAAGUAAAUUUAAAUUACUAAUUUUUUUGUUUUCAAAUAAUUAACUAUUAUUUCUCGAUACUAAUUAAUUUUUUCAUUUUGAUUUUUUAGGUCGAAGAUAACGGAGGAGAACUUCCUCCGAGGUUUUCGCCGAGACGCAUAAGAAGCGUAACGGCGAAUUCACGGAUCCUCGGGCGGAGGAGAUGUACAACGCCGCCUGUGCGGCGAUCGAGGAGCGACAGACGCAGCUGACUCAGCAGGCGCGUCAAACGUCUCCCGGAGGUAGCUCGGUCCAAUCGACCCGGCGCUGACGGUGGCGGAGAUGGACCAGAUCUUCGAAGAGGUAAAUUUAAUUACUAUAUUUAAUUAAUGUAACUUUAAUUUUAAAUUAAAUUUCUAACCAUAAUGUUUUUAAAAUAUUUGUAGGUUGCCGCAAAGAAAAAGGGGCGGAUAUUAGGGAUGGGAUCCAUCCGUGAUACCCCGAGAGCUACGGCGACUGGUCACGUCCGGGUCCCGGAUCCGGUUAUCCGCCAGGAGAUUAGGAGAUUGACCAGAUGCGGACCGGUACGAGACGAGGAUCGACCAGCUCUACGGUCUCUUCGAGAUCAUGGGAGCCGACAACCCGGUACUCAUGGCGCAGUUGGACAAGCUGCGGGCUGAUGGGAUUGUCGGCUCGUCUGCCGCCGGGUCAUCCACUAGGACGCAACCGCCGGUGCAGACGGAAGAGGAGAUGUUCCGAUCUCUCGGGGUUGAGCCUCCUAGAGCCGGAGAUCAGGCGCCGGCGGAAGCAUCAAACCAAAGACCCGGCAAGGAACACGUCCAGGACGAUGGGGAGGAGGCCGGUGACGGAAUCGACGGGAUCGACGAUUUAAAUUUAGAUUUAGAUCUGUAGGGUUUUUAUGUAAAUUACAAUUAAUUUAAUUUCAAAUUUUAAUAAAUUUUAAAUUGUAAAUUAUUUUUUUUAAUUUAAAUUUUAAUUCGAAUUAAUUUUUUUUAAUUUUCAAUUAUAUUAAACGUCGUAUAAUCGUCGUAAUAGCUUUAUUAAAAUCGUCGUAAUCGACGAAUUUACGACUAAAAUGUACGACAACAAAUACGACGAUUAUACGUCCGUGCUUUACGACGAUUUUACGACGAAAUGAUUAAAUACUGUACGAUUGAUUUACGACGAUUUAUGCGUCGUACAUUUUACGACGAUCUUACGUCGACCAUUAACGACCACUUAACGACGGUUCAGGCGAAGACCAAGUCGACGCAAUUCGAUGUAAAAUCGUCGUAAACUGUACGACGCAUUUACGACGAUUUUGUUUCCCUCGAUGUUACGACGAAACGAAACCGUCGUAUAUUAUACGACAAUUUUACGACGAUUUGUUUAUUACGACGAUGACUUUACGACGAUUUUGAAAUCGUCGGUAGUCCGUCGUAAUAGCCCUAUUACGACGAAAUAACAAUUAUUUCGGCCGUUGUAAAAUGAUGUUUUUCUUGUAGUGCAGGAGGUUUGCUCACCAAGACAUACCUCGGCAUUUUGCCUUGGGAACUUGUAAAUCUCGUGUCGUCUCUGUUUUACUUCUCUUAAUCCUGCAACAAACGAAACAGAGCAUAAGCGAUAAUACUUGGAACCUUAGAUCAGCAAUUAGAUCGAGCACAAAGAAGGAGAAAAUCGCAACAUAUCCUAUAAAAACAAAUUAAUAUAAUCUUCAAUUGAUAUAAGAGUGUAAAAUUGCAGGCUCAUAGAUGGCGUAUAUGCACUUUGCUUGUCUUGCAGAGAAGUUAAUGUGUCAUUUUGGAAGAAAAAACCUAAAAAUUGAAUUUCAUUCAAAAUUUUUGAACAAAGAAAAGAAUUUCAUUCCAAUUUAUUCGGUUCGGUUCAGUUUGGUUCAAUACAUUUGGUACAAUAACAAAAUUUGGGUUUAAUUUUUGAUUGAUGAAUUUCGGUUUGGGUAUUUCGAUUAUUUUGUGGGAUCCUAGGUUGGUCAAUAGAAAGUUAGAAACAAAGCGAAUAAUUUUCUACACCUUCACUGAAUAACGACAUCGUUUGUAUCUACGAUUCUCAUAUUUCGCCUAUUUGCAUGGGUGUGCCACGUGGCAUAUGCAGAAGUUGCCAGUGAACGAGUUUUUCUCACUACAUCAAUGUCACCAAAACCGAAUGCGAAAAGAAGAUAAAAGAAAAAACAGCAAACAAAAACAGAUCACGAGAAAAAGAAAACGAUGAAGAAGAUGAAGCACUUGUCCUCCAUUGCAAACGACGUCGUUCUUAGAUGCUCACAGUAUUUCUUCUCUCCCUGGCUAUAUAAUUUACAUAUUUGCAGAUCUAUAUAUGUUUUGAUUAUAUAGAAGGUUAAUUUAAAAAAAAAAAAAAUCGGAAAUGAAAGCACAUAUAUACUCAAAUUCGUGUAAGUGAGCAGUUUUUUGGGAUUUUUUAUCGUUUCCUUGGUGGUUAAGCCAAAAGAACAGCAAACCGAUUAAAGCUGAUUCCUGCCGGUUUAGCAUUGGUUUAAUUUGGAAAUAGUUUGGUGAAAUUGUUGGUAACUAACUGGUGUUGCAGGGAACUAGAGUCAACCAUUGAGAAAAUGGUGGAAGAGUUUGAAUGUCAAUGGAAGCCUGGAACGGAAGGUACUUACUCGAGGAAGUUUGUGGAAUUUUGCAACUCAAAAAUGAUGAGUCGGCUUUGUGACCAAAACAUACCUGAGAGAAUCAAAGAUGGUUCUUUUACUCGUCUCACGUUCGAUAUGAUGCUUGCGUGGCAACAGCCUGAUGCACAUGACAAUGAUUCUCAUUUGGUAACUACUAAAUCUCCUUGAGACUUCUUGAUCAUUUCUUGGAAUUAGAGUCGUUAAUUCAUGUUAAUAUAAUUGUGUGAAAAGGAAGCAGUAGGUAAGGAGAGUGAAGACAAGAGGAUUCAAUCAACCUUAUCCCCAGAGCAAGAUGACAUCUCUCUUUUUUAUUCAGACAUCAUGCCGCUUCUCGUAAGCAAAUUCUUGUUUGUCAAAGUAUAUGACACUGAAUAUUAAACUGUAUAUAAUAAACAAUAAUUGUUACCUCAACUUUUAUGUUAUGUGUGAAUUUGAUUAGGCUGAUCAUGAACCAAGUGUUGGUGAAGAUGCAUUUGUCUAUUUGGGCUCAAUCGUGCCUCUCCCCGUCGAUGUCAUCAACGGAAGAUACACGUUUGAGACUCUAACGGCUCCUACCGGCCACCAACUUCACUUCCCGGCUUACGAUAUGUUUGUCAAAGAAAUACACAAGUAAUUCUUCUUAUAUAGAGCAUAUUGUUGGUUUUUUAGACCCGAUAUAUAAAUCAUGUAUAUUUCUUCUAUAAGUUGGUUUAUUCUCGUACAAAUUGUGUAUAUAUAUAACAAGGUGUAUGAAGCAUUUGCAAAAGCAAGCAAAACCUAAAGGGGUCGAGUUAGCGGAUGAUGAAGUUAUACUGCAUGUUGAAGGAACAAUGGCUUCACAAAGAGUGGUUCGCCACAUUAAAGAAACAAGCUGGCCAGGUUUGGUUUCCCUGUUUUCCUUAUGUCAUGCAUGUCAAGUUUGAUUCAAAGUCAUGGCUGCUAUAACUUGUCAACAAAAUGUCUCUGACUUUUGUAGGUAGGAUUACUUUGACAAACUAUGCACUAUACUUUGAAGCCGCGGGAAUUAUAAACUAUGAAGAUGCUCUUAAGAUAGAUCUUACCAAAGACAAUGCAAAUUCUGCAAAGCCUAUUUCCACUGGUCCAUGGGGUGCCCCUCUUUUUGACAAGGCCAUUAUCUACGAGUCUCCCGAUCUGUAAGAAUUUCUGCAUGGUCUAAACUAUCUAUGUUGGUUCACUUUAAAUUAUUUCAAUCUAUAUUGACCUAGAGCUAUUUAUUGACUUUCGUUUUAGUGUUGUUUGGUAAAAGAACAUGUAUAUAUUAGGGAAAUUACUAGGCUAAUAAAAUGUUGCCUCGUUUGUUUAUGACUUAUAUAACAUAUUUGUCUUUUUGAUGCAUUUUUUAAGUGAGGAUGGAAUUGUCUUGGAGUUUCCAGAGAUGACAAGCUCAACGAGACGAGAUCAUUGGCUUAUGCUUGUUAAGGAGAUAGCAUUAAUGCAUCAGUUCUUGAGGAAAUACAAUGUUGAAUCUCCCUUACAAGCAUGGGAAGUCCAUUCAAGAACAAUCUUGGGAAUCGUACGGUUGCAUGCAGCCCGUGAAAUGCUGAGAAUUUCGCCUCCAGAUCCAAAAAAGUUUUUAAUAUUUAGUUUAUUUGAGGAAGUUCCUAAGGGGGACUUCGUACUAGAAGAGCUCGCAGAGAUUAGUCUAAAGAUGAGUACUACCAAAAACCCGUGUAGUGCUAGCUCUAUAUUGAGGAAUAUGAACAUGGAACAGCUUGGUAACUUAUUAAAAGAAGAGGGAGAAGAUAAGUGUAAGGAGAAGGAGGAAGUGAUUGACAAAGAAGAAAUGCUUGCGUCCCUUGAAAGUGCUGUGAAUCAAUCGAGAGAAGAGGGAAUGGAGAUUGAAAAGGCCAAAGCUACGACAACGAAGCUCGAAGAAGAAGGGAUUAGUGAAAGUGUAGCAGUUCUUAUGGUAAGAAGAUUUUUGUGCCAAAAUAUGCUAUAUUAGGUGCCAAAAGAUUGAUUAGUUGUUUUAAGGUGUAUUGAACUGACAUUAAUGAGGUAUCUUUCAGGAAUUGAUGAAGCCACUACAAGACGCAUUGCCAUGGUUUCAAGAAGUGCUUUAUUGGAAAAGGCCUUCUCGUACGCUUUUCAUUUUAGCCAUUACCAUUUUCACCGUCUACAAGUGAGUUUAAAGUAACUUAUAUUUUCUAGAAGAGUAAAUACAUGGUGUAUAUAUACUAUUAAUCAAGAAACUGAAAUGUAUGUUACAGGGAAUGGAUUGGUAAGGCUAUAGCUGCUUGCUUAAUAUGGGUGGUGGUUAAAAUGGCUCAGACUAGAAAUAAGAUGGUCCACAAGAAAAGUGAGGAUACGGUAACAGUGAGCACCGAAUCGGACCAAACAGUGACCGAGAGCAUUGUGUCGGCUCAAUAUGGUGUAAUAAGAGUACACCAGCUGAUGCAGCAUGUCAACGUCACCAUCAUGAAGUUACGGUCCAUAUAUACCUCCAAAGCUAGCAAGGUAUAGCUACUGUUUAUAUAUCACUUCGAUAAUAUUGUUUUUGUCUCUUAAUUAACCUCUUGAAUCUUAGCAUGCAAGCAUGGUGAUGGGGUCGAUGAUAGUGUUGGCGAGCUUCUUUGCGGUGGUGCCGUUCAAGUUGGUCAUCAUAUCUGGUAUAGUAUAUUGCUUUGUAAUGACAUCGCCUAUCGGAAAAAUGAUGAGCAACGAUCAGAGUAACCGGAGAAUGAAGGAGUGGUGGGAUUCCAUACCCAUUGUUCCCGUUCGUGUACUUGACUCUUCUUCUUCCAAGUAGUUCACUUGAUACGAGAUACUAGAAGCUAAUAGAGAAAAUAAUGUUUAAAACAGAGUUUUGUUUUGUAAAAUAUUUGCAAACAUAAUACUAUAUGUCACUACAAUUAUAGUAACAAAUAAAUCAGUUGACCGAAUUGAUUUCAAUUUGUUUUCGAUUUGGUAACUUUGUUUUACUAGAUAGCUCAUCUUCACACUAUUUGUAGAAAGUCGCAUUUAAUUGUUUUCCAGUCAACAUCUUUCGGAUUACAGUAUAUUGAAUUUUUGGUCUCCAUAUAACAAAAGUUGAAUAAGAACAUAAACACUUCACCAAAAAAAGAAAGAAUAAGAACAUAAACAGAGGAAAUUGAAAUACAGUACUACUCGCCCUUUUUAGGUAACCAAGAUACAUUUUACCACGAGUAUUCAAAAUUAUUUUGCAUGGAAACAAAUUUGUGUCUUGACUUUUGUUAUUAAUAAUUGUUGGAUAUCUGUUUGAGCCACCAUAAGACUUAAAUUAGGAGCAUGUUAGAAUUUCAACAAAAAAAAAAUCUACAACUAAACUAAAAAAACAAAGUAAAAUUAGAUAUCUGCAGAAAAUGAAAAGCAAGAAAUCUGCACAUGCUUAUGGAACAUGUUCCCUUCUGAUAUCAACCAUUUUCUUGCUUUUCUUCUCACGUAAGUCAUUUGUUAUCUAAGUUUUGAAUACAAAAGCUGAAUUUUUGUGAUGGUCAUGAUAUUUGAAUGUAUGGUUCCCUUUUUUGAUUAUCAAUUACAGGACAAGCAAGUUCAUACCAAAUGCUCAUAUGUUUAGAUCUAAACAUAUCAUGUUCAGAGUGCAAAGCACAAUGCAACGAGACAAGUUAUGGAGGAAUAUGUGUAAAAAAAUAUUCCAAUACCGAUCGUAUAAUCUGUUGUUGCAAAAAAAGUCCUCCGCCAUCAUAUUAUGAUCACAUAAAAGCUCCGUCUUCAUAAUCAUAUCAUAUGAUUGAACAUGUUCCUGUUUGGUAAUAUCGUAUCGGUCAACAUAGUAUAAGAAAUAAAUCAACAAAAUAAAAAAUUCCCAACAUACUUCGUAUAUCUAAUAAUUCUCUCACAUGCACACAGUACUGUUCAUUAUUAUAGAAGUUUUAUUUACCUAUAAUUUUGCAUCAAUUAUAAUUUCUAGAGAUUUUUUUCUAAGCCAAAUGAUUUAAUAGCAAGUUAACAUAUUUUUUGUUAACAAUUUAACAGAAGUGACGAAUAUACCAGUUUCCACGAUUUCACAUAAUUCCGCUAUAUUUUAUCGUUCGGAUUAUUCAUUGAGUUUUCACAUUUUCCUAUUUUUUGAAAAUUGAUUUGCUACAUACGAACGUGAUAAAAAUAUAAUAGAAUAACAAAAUAAACUCUUUUGAUAUUUGGUGUUCUAUAAGUGCAUGUUUCGCAUAAACUUUCCAGUUCUUUUAAUUAUUGGAUCAUUUAGAUAACAUACCAGUUAAGCAUGUAAUAACCAUUUGGCAUACAAAGAUGUCUACCCUACACAUUUGGCAUACAAAGAUAUAUAUACAUGCAGAAUCUUCUAAAUUUUGACAAAACAAAGAUUUGAACGUUACGAAACAAUGUACAUACGCUAUGUACAUCAGUGCCGCAAGAAGAAUUCAGAGAUAAUUAGGGAACUGGUAAUAUAAAAGAAUAGUUAUUGGUAAAAUGAAUAUAAAAAUGUAAGAUAGCUUUAAUUAGCCAUAUCGGACAAUCUUGUGCCACAUAGUGAAGGAGUGAAACCGAUCCUCUCCUUGGGCAUGUACAUUCCGGGUAACUUUAUCCUAAUCAAAUCCCACUCAAAUGGUUUAAUGAUUGCAGCCACACUACAUCUUGAGCAAUUGUGACAAACACCGCACAACCUUUGUCAUCCUUAAACUCCUCAUACUUUCAAGUUUCAACUGUCUACUGAAAAGUGAAAUCUUGUUCCCUUCUAAGUCAAUGGUGCUGUGGAUAUAUAUUGGAGAAAGCUCCUUUUUUUGGGUAAUUUGUACAAAAACCAAAUUGGGAAGAGGAAGACAAAUCCUUCUAAAACACUUUUGAUUACAAUUUUAUUCACUAUUUAGUUUUUUUUUUAAUUAAUCUUUUAAACACACUUUAUUAAUAAUUUAUAGAAAUAUAUCACAAAUUUUGUUUUAUAAGAUACUUUACCAAAUUUGCCCCAAAAAAAAGAUAGUUUACCAAAAAAAGCAACACAAUUUAUUAGUUUCUUUAUCAACUUAAAGAAAAAUAUUUUCUUUCUUAUUAAACGGAUGAAAGCAAAAACGGGUUAAAUGUCCAUAUAUGCCCACACGCUCCUUCUCUAUAUAUUAAGAGAAAAACAAGAACCCAAUCGGUCAAAAAGAGACGAGAGAGAUUAUGGCGAUAUCUCUAGAUCGAAACAAAGCAUUUGGUUGGGCCGCCAAUGACAAAUCCGGCAUCCUCUCUCCAUUUCAUUUCUCUAGAAGGUUUCUCUCUUUUACUUUUAACAUUCGUAUUCUGUUUUCUUCACAAGACUUCGAUCUUCUUUGUUCUCUGCUGGUUUGUAUAGGAAGAUAUUAAUGAGUUGAUGAUAUAUUUUGAUCGUAUGAUGAUAUAAGUAAUUGCCUUUGUGUUUGGUGUUAUAUAUGUAUAGAGAGAAUGGUGACAACGAUGUAACAGUGAAGAUAUUGUUUUGUGGUGUUUGCCACUCUGAUCUUCAUACCAUCAAGAACGAUUGGGGAUUCUCUCAUUACCCUAUCAUUCCCGGGUAUCCCCAAAAAACUCUUUCUUAGCAAAAUAUAUAAGGAUUCAAAUAUUGGGAUCGAUAUUUUAACAAUGGUGGAGAAAGAAAAUGUUUUCAGUUGAGGGCUGUUUUUUUUUUUUUUUUUUUCCCACAGUACGAAUAUUUUGAAAAAUAUAAUGUCAUUCAUGGUCCAUUUUUGAAAAAUGCGAAUACCUUGUAGAUAUUUUCAUGGCUAUAUCUGGUCCAGAUUAUUUUUAUUCCUUUUUAGGAGAUUUUUAUUUCCUUUGUAGGAUAUCUUGGUAAAUAGGGAAUAAAGAGAAAAAAAUAUGGAGAUUUUAUUAAAUAAAAGAAAAAGAGUUUGAUACCAAAAUAACCGCUCUUUAUAUAUGCUUAAAAAAAUAUUUUUGAGUUUAGAUUUAAAAAUUAAUUAUGCAUGUACAGUAUAUGGCAUUUAGAAAAAUAUGCAGUAGUAGAUCAAAUUAAUAAAAAAAUUACAGUUAAAUUACCAUUACUAUUUAAUUUUUAUUAAUGAUAACUUUAAUCGUUAACAAACUAUUUUUGUUUAUUUGCUAGGCAUGAAAUCGUUGGAAUCGCAACAAAAGUUGGUAAGAACGUGACCAAGUUCAAAGAAGGAGACAGAGUAGGAGUAGGAGUAAUAAUCGGUUCAUGCCAAUCAUGUGAAUCAUGUAAUCAAGACUUGGAAAAUUACUGUCCUCAGCUCGUAUACACAUACAACUCACGCUCGAUUGACGGAACCAGAAACCAAGGAGGUUAUUCCGACAAAAUCGUUGUCGAUCAACGCUUUGUCCUAAGCUUUCCCGACGGUUUACCGAGCGAUUCAGGCGCACCACUUCUCUGUGCUGGAAUCACUGUGUACAGUCCAAUGAAGUAUUAUGGUAUGACUGAAGAAAAAGGGAAACAUUUAGGUGUGAGUGGACUUGGUGGGCUUGGUCAUCUCGCUGUGAAGAUUGGUAAAGCCUUUGGUUUAAAAGUUACUGUGAUUAGUAGAUCAUCUGAGAAAGAGAGAGAAGCGAUUGAUCGACUCGCUGCUGACUCGUUUCUCGUCACAACGGACUCGCAAAAGAUGAAGGACGCGAUUGGGACUAUGGAUUUCGUGUUGGAUACGGUAUCACCAGAACACUCUCUUUUACCGUUGCUUAGUUUGCUUAAAGUGAAUGGAAAGCUUGUGACUUUAGGCUUACCAGAGAAGCCACUCGAGCUGCCAAUCUUCCCUCUGGUUCUUGGUAAAAAAGAAAAAAUAUGAAAGUUGUAAUUUUAUGUAUUGCGUGUUGUGCAAGUAAUGAUAAGGGUUUUGUGUUCUGUUACAGGAAGGAAAAUGUUGGGAGGGAGUCAGAUUGGAGGGAUGAAGGAGACACAAGAGAUGCUUGACUUCUGUGCCAAGCAUAACAUCGUUGCGGAUAUCGAGCUCAUAAAGAUGAGUGAUAUCAACUCUGCCAUGGCUCGGUUGGCUAGGUCUGACGUCAGGUACCGGUUCGUGAUCGACGUGGCUAAUUCAAUCUCCCUGUUGUGAUCUUGAUAAUCGAAUUUUGAUUGGUUGGAAGUAGGAUUCCAUAUUCAAAUCACAUGACAAGCAUAUCAGAGUCUCAUUUCUGGAUUUCUUGUUCAAAAUUGAAAGUACUUUUUUAAUAGUCACAUUCUCAUCUCUUCUAUGUAGUAGUAUGAUGUACUGCUGGUGAUUCCGAGCGCUUUUGACAUUGCAAACCAGUGAACAAGCAUAAAUUCACGAAGAGAUAAUCUUACUGGUUUCCCCUCAAAUAGUACUCAAAUCUUGUUCUUCUUUGCCACUUCUAUUUACCUUUUAAGCAAAAAGAUCCCAAAUUUUAAAGACCAUUUGGGUUUCUAAGUCAACUCAAACAGGUUCUCGAAUUUCUUCUUUUUCUUUUUGAACGCAUUAAUUUUGUCCGCUUUUAUUAUGGCUAAAAAAGAUUUUAGCCACUUCAUAACCAAAUAAGUUGAGAUCUCUUCCAGAGCUUGAACCAAAGAGAGAAGGUUUUACUCAGUUAUGACGUGGCUAAAAGAUCUUUUAGCCUUACUAAAAUCAGACAAAAUUGAUGUGUGCAAAGAGAAUGGAUUCGAAAAACUGUUUGAAUUGACCAAAAAAAAACCCCAAAUUGUUAUUGAAAUUUGAGCUAUUUUUGCUUGCAAAGCAAAUUGAAGUGACAAAGAAAACGAAAUUUGAGUUCUAUUUGGGGAAAAACCAAUAAGAUUGUCUCUUCAUAAAUUUAAACUUGUUACUGGUUUGCAAUAUGGAAAACGCUCGGAAUCACCAGCAGUUAGAGAUACACCAUACUACUA